rnacentral:lncRNA from 1 species
GCCAAAAAUCUAUGUGUCUCCAUUGCGUUUGCAAGCUCCAAUACCAUCCCUUUACUUUCUUGCAACUUGCAUACUUUACUCUUUCCGCUGCAUAUACUCUUGUCAUGCUUGUUUGAAAUGUAUUGUGAGUGCUUUAACAUGUGCUAAACUCAACCUUAACUUGAAGAAAUUAAAAACUGCCACUUUUACUUGUUAGGUGUCUAAUCACCCCCCCUCUAGACCCAUCUUCUCAAUCCUUUCAAUUGGUACCAAAGCUUUGGUCUCCAUUGCUUUGUUUUACUCACCAUUGGAGGAAGAUGGACGAGUCUACGUUCGGGAGUAUUAGACGUAGAGUGCCUAUUCUUGAUGAGGAGUUUUGUGGUACAUGGAAAAAUGAAAUGCUUGAGAUUUUCAGUGAAUAUAAUUUGAACAAUUAUAUUCUUAGCCCUUAUGUGCCUCCUAUUGAUCCUUUGCAUCCUACCCCCGAUGAGUAUCUUGACAUGGUUCGCAAUCUUAGGACUAUUGAUCUUAUCAUUAGAGGAUUGCCUAGAAAUUUGCUUGUGUGCUUGCCUACUUUUGAAUGCGCAUAUACUAUAUGGAAUUACCUUGAAGAAAACUUUGUGAAUUAUUCCUUGAAAAAUCUAGAUGAGAUUCUUCAAAAGUCUAUUGCUUUUCAAAAAUUGGAUCCCAGUGAUCCCAAGUUUGAUGAAUGUCUAUUUGAGCUGCGUGAUCAUAUAUGUGCCAAAGGAAAUGUUGGAGUCAUUAGUAGCAUCAUUUCGGAGACAAUUAGAAUUCAUAAACUUGAACGUUGCCAUGGUCAUAAAUCUAAUGAAUCACUUGCUCUAGGUGAUGAUCACAUUGAGCAUGGAUAUUAUGAUGAAGACGAAGAAAGUGAUAUUGACUUUGAGGAGACUAUGAGAAAUCUUAGUCUCAUGGCAAACUUUCUUGACUACAUGGCUGGAGGGAAAGAGUGGAUUCUCGAUAGUGGAUGUACUGAUCAUAUGACUGGAGAUAAAGACAUGUUCCAUGAGCUUGCUAAAAACUAUGGCCCACACAAGUAUGUAACUUUUGAAGGUAACUCCAAGGGUAAGGUACUUGGCCUUGGUAAGGUGGCCAUUUCCAAUGACAACUCUAUCCAAAAUGUUAUGCUCAUUGAAUCUCUUGGUUACAAUCUCUUUUCCGUAUCUAGACUAGCUAACUUUGGUUUCAAUGUUCUAUUUACCUAAGUAGAUUGCCAAGUGUUUCGUAGAGGUAAUCAUAAUAUGGACAUAUGGUCUUUACUAGUAUUGUAGAGGUGAUCAUAUCCUUGGUGUUAAAGAUGUUAUAUUUGACAAGGAUAGGCUUUGCAGUGCUUGUCAAGCAGGAAAACAGGUUGGAGGAAGUCAUCCCGUGGAGAACAUCAUGACCACGAGAAGACCACUCGAGCUACUGCAUAUGGAUCUUUUCGGUCCCAACGCCUACAGGAGUCUCGGUGGUAACUCGUUCAGUUUGGUCAUUGUUGACGACUUUUCAAGUUUCACGUGGGUAUUAUUUCUUGAUGACAAAUCGCAUGUCCAAAAGAUCUUCAAGAACUUCGCCAAGAAGGCCCAAAACCAAUUUGAAGUGAAGAUCAAGAAGGUUCGAAGUGAUAACGGAACGGAGUUCAAGAACGCCAAUGUGGAUACCUUUCUUGACGAAGAAGGGAUUUCACAUGAGUCCUCGGCUACGUAUACGCCCCAACAAAAUGGGGUUGUUGAGAGGAAGAACCGAACACUUAUCGAGAUGACGGGAACGAUGCUUGAUGAAUACAAGACAGUAAGACACUUUUGGGUGGAAGCGGUUGAGACAGCUUGUCAUGCUACGAAUUGACUAUAUCUUCACAAGCUUCUCGGCAAAACGGCAUACGAGCUACUCACCUAUAACAAACCCCAAGUCGGAUACUUACGAGUAUUUGGCUCAAAGUGCUACAUUCUUGAUAAGCAUCAUCGUUCGAAGUUCGCUCCUAAAUCUCAUGAAGGUUUCCUACUCGGUUACGGUUCAAACUCUCACACUUAUCGUGUCUACAACAAUUUCACCCGAAAGGUUGAAGAGACGAUAGAAGUGAAGUUUGAUGAAUCUAAUGACUUGCAAGUAGAGCAAUUGCCAAUUGAUAUAGGAGACAAAGAUCCAUCGGAAGCAAUCUAAGAUUUGUCCAUUGGCAAAAUUCGCCCAACGGAGGUGAAUGUAGCGACCAGACCUCAAACAGUCUAGUCUCCGUGCAUCAGUGUCAUCCCUGGAUCGGUAAUGCUGACACGCACAGUACUUUGAAGGAUUUAUAACAGAGUAGCAAUCACACACUUAUUACAUCGAAUAGUUCAAGAGAACUCAAUACAAAUAAAUAUGGCUUAAGGCCAUCUAAAAACGAUAACAGCGGAAGGCUUGGAAGAUAAAGUGAGUCCAUCAACUCCAACGGCAUCACUGAGUAUAAGACCACGACCUAAGGCUCCUUACUCGUCGUCUGAAAAGUCUGCAACAUGAUACGUUGCAGCCCGAAAACGGGUCAGCACAUGGAAUAUGCUGGCAAUGUAACACAUAGAGAGUAAUGAACAGAAUAAUGCUAUCACUACAUGCAUAUUUGGCUGGUGGAAAGCUCUAUGGUUACAGUUUUGCGAAAAGCCAAUUUUUUCCUACCACAAAGGAAUAAAUUUUAUUUAACUAUCAUGGUGGUUGUUAAACAUUGAGAAGGUACCUCCAACUCAAUCCCAAUUAAGAACGUGAUUAACCCAAUCAAAUUAAAUUAAGUAACAUGAUGAUGAGAUUCACAUGAUAAUCCAAGAACUAGAUACUCAAGAUGUCCAUAACCGGGGACACGGCUAACCAUGACUAGUUUGUACACUCUGCAGAGGUUUGCGCACUUUUCCCCACAAGACUCGAUCGCCUCCGCUUGAUUUCUCGCACUACAUGGUGUUUGAGAAACGGAUGACCGAGACACAGUCUUUCAGAAACACUACUCUUUACUCCGGGUGGACAGUUACACCUACUUUCCCCUACAUCUGCUAGCCCACCUCUUCAAGAGAUCAUGUAACCUACUCAACUAUGCUAGAGCCCAUAAUAGCUUGUGGCUGCACACGGAAGUUUCUAGCAUGAAUAAUCUCAUGAUCCCUUUGAGUCUGGGUGGCGGUUCAUAGGAUGAUCACACGGGUACUCCGGGAUAUCCAAAAAUACAGGCAACACUGGGUUCUCCAGGUGCCUCAAUCCACCCAGAUGUAAAUUAAAGUAGCCACCUUAAGUUGAACCAUUAAUUAAGAGUCUCACAUUUGUCAUGGAAAACUCUCAAACCCAAUCCACGUCUACGAGCAUAGCAUAGCAAUAUAAGCAAACGUAGAAGUAACUCCCAAAGGUUUGAUAGUAAACAGGGCAAUAGGUACUACCUCAUCUACUUCCCAAAACCCACAUAUUAAUCAGAUCAUAAUCAUGCAAUUGUUUGAGGAUUGAUCUAAUGCAAUAAAACUGGGUGGUAAAAAGGUAUGAUCAAAGUGUUACUUGCCUUGCUGAUGAUCCGUGAAACCUAGAGACUCGUAGUAGCACGCUUCGCACUCCGGUUACUCUAUCACCAACAAACAAUACAUACAUAAGCGAUCAAGCAAGGGUGCACAAAUAAAACUCAAAAUAAUAGAUCUAACCAGAAAGUUCAACUUAAGAACUCCGGUUUGCAAAAAGAAUCAAAUCGAACGAAGCAACGAAACUCAAACGGCGAAAGAAAUAAGCUUCGUUUACUAAUCUGGACCUAUGUCAAAUUUUACAGUAGCAAAAACUUGUUUGAGUUGGUUAAACAGAAAGAGGGUUUCGAGAUGAAACUCUAGGCGCUUGAAUCGCCUGAUUUCGAUAAACGAGCGAAAAGUUAAACUGAAACGAAAAUCGGAUCAGAAAUCACGAUCGAAAAUAAUCGCGGAAAUCCGAGAAAAGAAAAAACUGACGAAUAGGCUAACGAACGAACGUUCGCUGUCUGCGGUUAAACGAGGAAAACCGUUCGUUAAACGAACGUAUGAACGGGCGUUCGCUAUUUAGUUAAACUAGAAAAAAUAAACCGAUCUAAUAAAAAAACGCAUCUCAGUUUCGAAAUAAAACCGAACGGUUUUUCGAGAAAACCGGCGGCUACCUCGGUUCACGUGACGGCAGCGGCGGCGAGCAACUCCGGCGGGGCGGCGUCAGGCGAGGGGCGGCGGGGCUCCGGCGGGCGGCGUCNNNNNNNNNNNNNNNNNNNNNNNNNNNNNNNNNNNNNNNNNNNNNNNNNNNNNNNNNNNNNNNNNNNNNNNNNNNNNNNNNNNNNNNNNNNNNNNNNNNNNNNNNNNNNNNNNNNNNNNNNNNNNNNNNNNNNNNNNNNNNNNNNNNNNNNNNNNNNNNNNNNNNNNNNNNNNNNNNNNNNNNNNNNNNNNNNNNNNNNNNNNNNNNNNNNNNNNNNNNNNNNNNNNNNNNNNNNNNNNNNNNNNNNNNNNNNNNNNNNNNNNNNNNNNNNNNNNNNNNNNNNNNNNNNNNNNNNNNNNNNNNNNNNNNNNNNNNNNNNNNNNNNNNNNNNNNNNNNNNNNNNNNNNNNNNNNNNNNNNNNNNNNNNNNNNNNNNNNNNNNNNNNNNNNNNNNNNNNNNNNNNNNNNNNNNNNNNNNNNNNNNNNNNNNNNNNNNNNNNNNNNNNNNNNNNNNNNNNNNNNNNNNNNNNNNNNNNNNNNNNNNNNNNNNNNNNNNNNNNNNNNNNNNNNNNNNNNNNNNNNNNNNNCGGCGACGGGCGACGGCGGCGGGGUCGGCGACGGCGACGCGGAUCGGUUAGGUUUAGGGUUAGGUGGCAGCGGCGACUUGGGCUGGCGGCAGUGUCGGGCCGCGGCUUAUAAGGCCGGCCGGGCUGAGGUGUCCGGGUCGGACACGGCCCGUAAGGCGGUUCGCGAUUUUUUUUAAAAAAAUUCAGACGUGUAGAAAAAGUAAGAAAAUAAAUACUAAACGGACUCCAAAAAUCCCGAAAUAAAUUUUUCCCGUCCUCUAAAAAUAAGCCGGAGAAGAUGAACAUUUAUUUGGGCCUAGAAUGCAAUUUUGAAAAACGCGUAUUUUUCCUAAUUCAAAUAAAAUCAAAUAAAAUCAAAUAUUUGUUUUUAAUAUUUUUCCUCCAAUAUUUCAUUGUUUGUGGAGAAGUCAUAUUAUCUCCUCUCAUAUAUUUUGAUAUGAAAUAUUUUCGGAGAGAAAAAUAAUUAAAACAAAUUAUCCUAUUUUCAAAAUUUGAGAAAACCCAAAUAUGAAAAUAACGAAAUCCCCAACUCUCUCCGUGGGUCCUUGAGUUGCGUAGAAUUUCUAGGAUCGCAAAACAAAAUGCAAUAAAAUAUGAUAUGCAAGAAUGAUCUAUGUAUAACAUUCCAAAUUGAAAAUUUGGGAUGUUACAAACCUAUCCCCCUUAAGAUGAAUCUCCCCCUCGAGAUUCGGGUUGGCUAGAAAAUAGGUGAGAGUGGUCCUUCCGUAGAUCUUCCUCUCGCUCCCAGGUGGCUUCCUCCUCGGUAUGGUGACUCCACUGGACUUUGCAAAACUUGAUAACCUUGCUGCGGGUGACUCGGCUGGCAUAUUCGAGAAUCUUGACUGGUUUCUCCUCAUAGGUCAAAUCACUAUCCAGCUGAAUCGCUUCCAGUGGCACUGUAUCUCUCAGUGGUAUCUCAGCCAUCUCUGCGUGGCACUUCUUCAGCUGAGAAACAUGGAACACAUCGUGAACUCCCGACAAUCCUCCGGCAAUUCCAACUUGUAAGCAACUUCACCCAUACGCUCCAAAACUUUGUAUGGUCCUACAAAACGUGGCGCUAACUUUCCCUUAACUCCAAAGCGCUUCACUCCUCGAAGUGGUGAUACUCGAAGAUAAACUCUGUCUCCGACUUCGUAAAUUGUCUCCUUGCGUUUAGAAUCCGCAUAACUCUUUUGCCUGGACUGGGCUACCUUGAGCCUAUCGCGAAUAAACUUCACUUUCUGUUCAGACUCUUUAAUCAAAUCUGGUCCAAACAACUGGCGGUCUCCAACUUCGUCCCACAACAACGGUGUCCUGCACCUCCUUCCGUACAGAGCUUCGAAAGGGGCCAUCUUCAAACUGGAUUGAUAACUGUUGUUAUAAGAGAACUCUGCAUAUGGCAAAUUGUCAUCCCAACUAGAUCCAUAAUCUAGCGCACAAGCUCUUAGCAUGUCCUCCAAAAUCUGAUUGACUCUCUCGGUCUGUCUGUCUGUCUGUGGAUGAAAGGCUGUACUGAACUCUAGCCUGGUACCCAAAGUCUCGUGCAACUGAUUCCAAAACUUUGAAGUAAACUGGGUUCCUCUAUCUGAUACAAUGGUCCUCGGAACUCCAUGCAGACAUACGAUCCUGGUCAUGUAUAUCUUUGCCAGCUUAGCACUUGUAUAAGUGGUCUUUACUGGGAUGAAAUGAGCUACCUUCGUCAGACGAUCGACUACAACCCAUAUCGAGUCAUAGCCUGAACGAGUCCUGGGCAAUCCUGUGAUAAAAUCCAUGCCUAGCUUAUCCCACUUCCAUUCGGGUAUCGGCAAUGGUUGUAACAAUCCUGCUGGCUUCUGAUGCUCUGCCUUUACUCUCUGACAUACAUCACAAACUGCUACAUACUCCGCAAUAUCCUUCUUCAUUCCGGUCCACCAGAAACUGUCCUUUAAAUCCAGGUACAUCUUGGUAUUUCCUGAGUGAAUCGAAUAUGGUGAAUCAUGGGCCUCUUGCAAGAUCAACUUCCUGAUCUCCGGAUCAUUGGGCACAUAAACGCGGUCCUCAAACCAUAAGGUAUCAUGCUCAUCCUCACGAAAUCCCUUGGCUUUUCCUUUACUCAUCCUUUCCUUUAUCUCAGCAAUUUCCUUGUCUGUCUUCUGGACUUCUCUGAUCUUAUCCAUCAAAGUAGACUGAAUCUCCAAUGCUGCUACAUAGCCUCUCGGAACUAUUUCCAAACAUAGUUCACGAAGAUCCUCUGCUAACUCCUUGGGUAACUCUCCGGUCAUGAGUGUGUUGACAUGGCUCUUGCGGCUCAACGCAUCGGCUACUACGUUAGCCUUCCCCGGGUGAUAAUGCAAUCUCAGAUCAUAAUCCUUAAUGAGCUCCUACCAUUUCCUUUGCCUGAGAUUCAACUCCUUCUGCGUGAAAAUGUACUUCAAACUCUUGUGAUCCGUGUACACCUCACAAUGGUUUCUGAUGAGAAAAUGUCUCCACGUCUUCAACGCAUGCACUACGGCUGCUAACUCCAAAUCAUGUGUAGCAUAAUUCAACUCAUGGGGUUUAAGCUGUCGUGAGGCAUAUGAAACAACUCUUCCCUCCUGCAUUAGCACUGCUCCAAGUCCUGGACGAGAAGCGUCACAAUAUACUUCAUAAUCCUUGCGUUGAUAUGGCAAAAUCAACACUGGCGCUGUAACCAAACGUUUCUUUAACUCCUGGAAACUAGCUUCACAUUCCUCAGUCCAUUUGAAUUUGGUGUCCUUCUUCAACAACUCCGUCAUAGGCUUUGCAGUCUUCGAGAAAUUCUCGAUGAAUCUCCGGUAAUAUCCUGCGAGUCCCAGAAAACUCCGGAUUUCUCCAACUGUCGUGGGUGACUCCCAAUUUGUCACAGUGUUAACCUUGGUGGGAUCUACUGCUAUUCCUUCUCCGGAUAUAACAUGUCCAAGGAAUGCAACUUCCUUUAACCAAAACUCGCACUUGCUGAACUUAGCAUAUAACUGAUGUUCUCUGAGCUUUCCAAGUACCAAACGCAAAUGCUCCUUAUGCUCUUCUUCAUUCUUCGAAUAGACCAGAAUAUCAUCAAUGAACACUACGACGAACUUAUCCAAAAACUCCAUAAACACUUUGUUCAUCAUGUUCAUGAAAUAGGAGGGUGCGUUAGUCAGGCCAAAUGACAUAACGGUGUACUCAUAUAGCCCAUACCUUGUGGUAAAAGCUGUCUUGGGUAUAUCCUGCUCUCGAAUCUUCAACUGGUGGUAUCCUGAUCGCAAACCAAUCUUGGAAAAUACUUUAGCUCCUUGUAGUCAGUCAAACAGAUCAUUGAUCAUCGGCAGUGGGUACUUGUUCUUGAUUGUUACUUCAUUCAAUCCACGAUAAUCAACAACCAUCCUCAACGAUCCAUCUUUCUUCUCCACUAGAAGUACAGGUGAUCCCCAAGGUGACGAACUUGGGCGAAUAUAUCCUUUAUCCAGUAACUCCUUAAUCUGCUUCUUAAUUUCUUCCAAAUCCUUAGCGGGCAUCCUGUACGGUCUCUUAGAUAUUGGCCCAGUGCCUGGCAAAAGCUCAAUCAAAAACUCAAUGUCUCUAUCCGGUGGCAUGCCUGGCAACUCCUCUGGAAAUACGUCAGGGAAAUCCUUCACCACUGGCACUUCCUCCUGUACAACUCCUGAUAAGGAAUUUACUUGAGUCCUCUUCGGCACAUGCCGGGAGACAUACUUAAUCCUUCUUCCUUCUGGGGUAGUAAGCAAAAUCGUCUUACUGGCGCAAUCGAUGUUUCCUCCAUACAUCGAUAGCCAAUCCAUUCCCAAAAUCACAUCCAAACCUUGCGACUCCAAAACUAUUAGGUCUGAGGGGAAAACAUGCCUACCUAUGGCCAAUGGCAUCUGAAAACAUCCUUGGCUUGCCAUAUACUCUGCUCCUGGCGAGGUUACUAACAUAGGUGUUCUAAGAACUUUGGUGGGCAACUUAAACUUAUCCACAAAUCCCCUUCAUAUGUAUGAAUGUGAUGCACCAGUAUCAAAAAGAACGAUUGCAGUAAAUGACUUAACCAAAAACUUACCUAUUACUGCAUCAGGUUGUGCUUCAACCUCCUCCACAUUAACGUGGUUCACCUGUCCCCUGUUGAAAGGGUUCGGCUUCUUCCCCGAGCUUCCAUUGCCAUUUCCGUUCUUAGCUUCCGGACAUUCAGUUGCAUAAUGUCCAGUCUUCUGGCACUUGAAACAAGUAACGUGGCUUAGAUCCCUCUUGGCUGGGGUUGAUGGGUUGGUACGGUUCUGUCCAUUGCUUCCUCCGUUUCCAUUGCCAUUCUUGGGGCCACUAUGAUUGUGCGAGCUCCCUCCAUUGUGAUUGUGAACUCCAUGGUUAUGCUGAAGGUGUCCUCCCGAGUUCGGGGUAAAACGAGGCUUCUGGUGAGCUCCUGUACUGUACUUUCCUUGUCCAUACUUCCUCUUACGGCUCUCAAUCUGCUGCUGCUUCCCUUCAAUCAUGAGAGCUCUAUCUACCAACUCCUGGUAGUUGUUAAAAGUUGCCACCAUCAACUGCAUGCUCAGCUCAUCAUUCAGUCCUUCCAGAAACUUCUCCUGCUUAGCUGCAUCCGUAGCAACGUCAUCUGGGGCAUAACGUGCUAACUUACUAAAAUCCUCCACGUACUGGCCAACGGUACGUCCUCCUUGGCGUAAGUUGCGAAACUCACGCUUAUUCAUGGCCAUAGCUCCUGCUGAAACAUGGGCAGUACGGAAAGCUUGCUGAAACUGGUCCCAUGUGACGGUGUCAAUGGGGUGAGUGGCUGUGUAAUUCUCCCACCAUGAUGCUGCGGGUCCAUCAAGCUGAUGUGCGGCAAAACGCACUCUCCCCGCAUCUGUGCAUCCUGCAGUGGUCAGCUCCCUUCCAACCUUGCGGAGCCAAUCAUCUGCCACAAUCGGCUCGGUGCUUCUGGAGAACACCGGCGGAUUCAGCCUAAGAAAACGGGCUAAGUGAUCAACAGGUGGUGGUGGUGGUGGGUUGUUGUUGUUGUUGUUGUUGUUGCCUUGGUUCUGAACUAGCACUUGCAUCAGGGCAUUCUGCUGCUGAAUCAACUGAGUGAUCUCCGGUGGGAAAACAAAUCCGGUGUCGCGUCUCGGAGGCAUCUGAUGGGUUUAGAAAAAAUGAGAAAAUAGGAUAGAAUGAGGUCUAGAGGGAAAACACUACCCACAUGCACAUGAGACAAACACAAUCAUAUCACUCCAAUCAAUUCAAACAAGGCAUACAAUCGAUCUAACUAUCGUUACAAAGUGCUUGGACUAUACUAUAUACAUGGUGGAAUACUACUACUAAUUUGGUGGUCUUCUAGAAAAAUUGCUCAGUCGAAGACUCCAUGAUAUUUGCUCUGGCUUCAUCCUCCCAAUCAUCAUCACUGGGGUCCGAGUCAGUGUCGUCGAUGAUGAUGUAGUUCUCCGAGCAAGUAGAAUCAUCAUCAUCUCCUCCUGGUGCGGGGUCUCCCAAGAAAACUCCUAGCUUCUGUGUCAGGUCGCCGUUCUUCUCCAACAAUGUUGCGAUUUCCUCCUCAUAUCCAUCGCGUGUAGCCUUGAGUUCUUCCUCCAGUUCCAUGAUCCUAGUCUUUGCCUUCUUCAGUUCUAUCAUGUCUGCGCACAUCUAGUUCUCCUGGAGACGAAUGUGCUGGUUUAACUCCUGAAUGAAAGCUGCAAUAGAUCUAUCCUUCCUGGUGCUGAUCAUCUCCCAUUUCCCGUCUCGGCACCCACAAAUCUGAUAGAUAGUAUCCUUGAGAUCAUUGUGGUACACUUCUCCAAUGUGUCCCAUGGUGAUGUGGGCUGCCAUGCUCUUUCCUAGACUCCAGGUUGGUGCAUCAAAGGAAAACUCUAUGGGCUCAGUGACUGGCGUGAACGUCCUUCCUGGAACUUGAACUUGAAUCAUCCAGCGCUCCUCUUCUGGUAGUGUGGCGUUGUAGGUUCCGGUGAAGCUUGGUAUUCCGAUGUUCAGAUACUUAGUAACUUCCUUCAAGUGACGUCCAAAAGGUGUAUCCUCAUCUGUUUGCGCGAACUUGUUCCUUGCAUCCGCCAUCCUAAAAGAGUGGAAGAAAGGAGAGGAGUCAGAAAUGAGAAGAGAGUAGUGAUCUAGGGCUUUAGCUUAGUGGUCGUGUCCUACAGUCAGCGUGUGCUCUGAUACCAUCUUUGUAGCGACCAGACCUUAAACAGUCUAGUCUCCGUGCAUCAGUGUCAUCCCUGGAUCGGUAAUGCUGACACGCACAGUACUUUGAAGGAUUUAUAACAGAGUAGCAAUCACACACUUAUUACAUCGAAUAGUUCAAGAGAACUCAAUACAAAUAAAUAUGGCUUAAGGCCAUCUAAAAACGAUAACAGCGGAAGGCUUGGAAGAUAAAGUGAGUCCAUCAACUCCAACGGCAUCACUGAGUAUAAGACCACGACCUAAGGCUCCUUACUCGUCGUCUGAAAAGUCUGCAACAUGAUACGUUGCAGCCCAAAAACGGGUCAGCACAUGGAAUAUGCUGGCAAUGUAACACAUAGAGAGUAAUGAACAGAAUAAUGCUAUCACUACAUGCAUAUUUGGCUGGUGGAAAGCUCUAUGGUUACAGUUUUGCGAAAAGCCAAUUUUUUCCUACCACAAAGGAAUAAAUUUUAUUUAACUAUCAUGGUGGUUGUUAAACAUUGAGAAGGUACCUCCAACUCAAUCCAAUUAAGAAUGUGAUUAACCCAAUCAAAUUAAAUUAAGUAAUAUGAUGAUGAGAUUCACAUGAUAAUCCAAGAACUAGAUACUCAAGAUGUCCAUAACCGGGGACACGGCUAACCAUGACUAGUUUGUACACUCUGCAGAGGUUUGCGCACUUUUCCCCACAAGACUCGAUCGCCUCCGCUUGAUUUCUCGCACUACAUGGUGUUUGAGAAACGGAUGACCGAGACACAGUCUUUCAGAAACACUACUCUUUACUCCGGGUGGACAGUUACACCUACUUUCCCCUACAUCUGCUAGCCCACCUCUUCAAGAGAUCAUGUAACCUACUCAACUAUGCUAGAGCCCAUAAUAGCUUGUGGCUGCACACGGAAGUUUCUAGCAUGAAUAAUCUCAUGAUCCCUUUGAGUCUGGGUGGCGGUCCAUAGGAUGAUCACACGGGUACUCCGGGAUAUCCAAAAAUACAGGCAACACUAGGUUCUCCAGGUGCCUCAAUCCACCCAGAUGUAAAUUAAAGUAGCCACCUUAAGUUGAACCAUUAAUUAACAGUCUCACAUCUAUCAUGGAAAACUCUCAAACCCAAUCCACGUCUACGAGCAUAGCAUAGCAAUAUAAGCAAACGUAGAAGUAACUCCCAAAGGUUUGAUAGUAAACAGGGCAAUAGGUACUACCUCAUCUACUUCCCAAAACCCACAUAUUAAUCAGAUCCUUAUCAUGCAAUUGUUUGAGGAUUGAUCUAAUGCAAUAAAACUGGGCGGUAAAGAGGUAUGAUCAAAGUGUUACUUGCCUUGCUGUUGAUCCGUGAAACCUAGAGACUCAUAGUAGCACGCUUCGCACUCCGGUUACUCUAUCGCAAACAAACAAUACAUACAUAAGCAAUCAAGCAAGGGUGCACAAAUAAAACUCAAAAUAAUAGAUCUAACCAGAAAGUUCAACUUAAGAACUCCGGUUUGCAAAAAUAAUCAAAUCGAACGAAGCAACGAAACUCAAACAGCGAAAGAAAUAACCUUCGUUUACUAAUCUGGACCUAAGUCAAAUUUUACAGUAGCAAAAACUUGUUUGAGUUGGUUAAACAGAAAGAGGGUUUCGAGAUGAAACUCUAGGCGCUUGAAUCGCCUGAUUCCGAUAAACAAGGGAAAAGUUAAACGGAAACGAAAAUCGGAUCAGAAAUCGCGAUUGAAAAUAAUCGCGGAAAUCCGAGAAAAAGAAAAACUGACGAACAGGCUAACGAACGAACGUUCGCGGUCUGCGGUUAAACGAAGAAAACCGUUCGUUAAACGAGCAUACCAACGGGCGUUCGCUAUUUAGUUAAACCGGAAAAAAUAAACCGAUCUAAUAAAAAAACGCAUCUCGGUUUCGAAAUAAAACCGAAUGGUUUUUCGAGAAAACCGGCGGCUACCUCNNNNNNNNNNNNNNNNNNNNNNNNNNNNNNNNNNNNNNNNNNNNNNNNNNNNNNNNNNNNNNNNNNNNNNNNNNNNNNNNNNNNNNNNNNNNNNNNNNNNNNNNNNNNNNNNNNNNNNNNNNNNNNNNNNNNNNNNNNNNNNNNNNNNNNNNNNNNNNNNNNNNNNNNNNNNNNNNNNNNNNNNNNNNNNNNNNNNNNNNNNNNNNNNNNNNNNNNNNNNNNNNNNNNNNNNNNNNNNNNNNNNNNNNNNNNNNNNNNNNNNNNNNNNNNNNNNNNNNNNNNNNNNNNNNNNNNNNNNNNNNNNNNNNNNNNNNNNNNNNNNNNNNNNNNNNNNNNNNNNNNNNNNNNNNNNNNNNNNNNNNNNNNNNNNNNNNNNNNNNNNNNNNNNNNNNNNNNNNNNNNNNNNNNNNNNNNNNNNNNNNNNNNNNNNNNNNNNNNNNNNNNNNNNNNNNNNNNNNNNNNNNNNNNNNNNNNNNNNNNNNNNNNNNNNNNNNNNNNNNNNNNNNNNNNNNNNNNNNNNNNNNNNNNNNNNNNNNNNNNNNNNNNNNNNNNCGUCGGGCGUCGGCGGCGGGGUCGUCGACGGCGGCGGCGGCGCGGAUCGGUUAGGUUUAGGGUUAGGUGGCGGCGGCGACCUGGGCUGGCGGCGGGGUCGGGCCGCGGCUUAUAAGGCCGGCCGGGCUGAGGUGUCCGGGUCGGACACGGCCCGUAAGGCGGUUCGCGAUUUAAAAAAAAUCGGACGUGUAGAAAAAGUAAGAAAAGAAAUACUAAACGGACUCCAAAAAUCCCAAAAUAAAUUUUACCCGUCCUCAAACAAUAAGCUGGACAAGAUGAACAUUUAUUUGGGCCUAAAAUGCAAUUUUGAAAAACACGUAUUUUCCUAGUUCAAAUAAAAUCCAAAUAAAAUCAAAUAUUUGUUUUUAAUAUUUUUCCUCCAAUAUUUCAUUAUUUGUGGAGAAGUCAUAUUAUCUCCUCUCAUAUAUUUUGAUAUGAAAUGUUUUCGGAGAGAAAAAUAAUUAAAACAAAUGAUCCUAUUUUCAAAAUUUGAGAAAACCCAAAUAUGAAAAUAACGAAAUCCCCAACUCUCUCCAUGGGUCCUUGAGUUGCGUAGAAUUUCUAGGAUCGCAAAACAAAAUGCAAUAAAAUAUGAUAUGCAAGAAUGAUCUAUGUAUAACAUUUCAAAUUGAAAAUUUGGGAUGUUACAGUGAAGGAUAGUACUUUGUCCAUUCAAGUCGAAGACUCAAAUUCACAUCAAGGUGAACCACAAGUUGACUUGAAGGAAUCCGCAAGUGGAACACGUCAAGACGAAGGAAAUGAGGAAGUACAACAAGAUGAACCACCUCGACCUCCUUCUCCACCUCCACAAGAGAACGAGAACACCACCAACAAUGAAGAAGAAGAUGAUGAUGAGGAUGUUCCACCCCAACCCAAGCAAAAUCUCUCACGAGUUAGAGCAAGAGUCUCAAGAGAUCAUCCCGUCGAACAAAUCUUCGACGACAUUCAAACCAGGAGAAUCACUCGCUCUAAAACUCGUUUGGCUAACUUUUGUGAACACUAGUCAUUCAUUUCUAGUGUUGAACCUAUGAAGGUAGAAUAAGCCCUUGAGGAUCUAGAUUGGAUAAAUGCUAUGCAUGAAGAGCUACACAACUUUGAGAGGAAUCAAGUGUGGACAUUGGUUGAAAAGACCAAUGACGAGCAUAAUUUCAUUGGAACCAAAUGGGUGUUUCGGAAUAAGCAAGAUGAAGAUGGACAAGUUGUACGCAACAAGGUCAUCUCGUCACUCAAGGCUACACUCAAGUCGAAGGUAUGGACUAUGGUGAGACAUAUGCCCCCGUUGCUAGACUUGAGUCCAUUAUCAUUUUACUUGCUUAUGCCAAUCACCAUGAUAUCACUCUAUGCCAAAUGGACAUUUAAAGUGUUUUUCUAAAUGGUGAAAUUGAGGAGGAAGUUUAUGUUAAACAACCUCCGGGCUUUGUUAAUCCCAAGAAACCUAAUCAUGUCUACAAACUUCACAAAGCUCUUUAUGGUCUUAAACAAGCUCCUAGAGCUUGGUAUAAAUGCUUGACUAACUUUCUUAUUGAAAAAUACUUUGAAAUUGGGAGCAUUGAUUCUAUAGUUUUUACUAAAAGGGUUCAUGGUGAAUUAUCUGUGUACCAAAUUUAUGUGGAUGAUAUCAUAUUUGGUUCUACUAACCCCCAUUUUUUUGAAAAGAUUGGAAGGCUAAUGUCGGAGAAGUUUGAGAUGUCUAUGAUGAGUGAACUCAAAAUUUUCCUUGGAUUGAAAAUCAAGCAAACUAAGGAAGGUACCUUUGUCUCACAAAUAAAGUAUGCCAAAGAUCUUUUCAAGAAGUUCAACAUGCAAGAAAGCAAAGGUAUGAAAACACCCAUGCCUACUAGUGGACAUCUUGACUUGACUAAGGAUGGCAAUCCGGUUGACGAAAAGGUUUACCGUUCUAUGAUUGGUUCAUUGUUAUAUCUAUGUGCAUCCCAUCGCGAUAUUAUUCUAAGUGUGUGCAUGUGUGCACGAUAUCAAGCGGCUCCUAAAGAGUGUCAUCUUAAGGCCAUGAAAAAGAUAGUGAGAUACUUAAUCCAUACACCAAACUUUGGCAUUUGGUAUCCUAAGAGGUCAUCUUUUGAUCUUGUUGGCUAUUCCGAUUCAGACUAUGCCGGUGACAAGGUUGAUAGGAAGUCCACUUUGGGAACUUGUCAAUUUCUUGGUAGAUCCCUUGUCUCUUGGUCCUCCAAGAAACAAAACUUGGUAUCCUUAUCCACCGCCGAAGCAGAAUACAUUGCUGCCGGAUCAUGUUGUGCUCAAUUACUUUGAAUGACCCAAACUCUUAAAGAUUAUGGGAUACAUGUGAAACAUGUUCCAUUGCUUUGUGACAAUGAGAGUGCUAUUAAGAUUGCUCUUAAUCUCGUGUAACAUUCUCGAACUAAUCAUAUUGAAGUUCGUCAUCAUUUCAUUCGCGAUCAUGUUGCUAAAGGAGACAUCAAUCUUAAGCAUGUUCGUACCGAUAAUCAAUUGGUGGAUAUAUUCACUAAACCGCUUGAUGAAAAGGUAUUUUGCCGUUUGAGAGGUGAAUUGAAUAUCAUUGAUGCCUCAAACUUGGAAUAGAGAUUCCAUUUGGAUACAUGCAAGGCAUGAGCCUUUAUGACUAAUCCUUGAUAUUUCUAUUAUGAUGAUGAUCAUUUGUCUUGGAUAUAUAUUUGCACCCUUGCAUGUUAUCUAACCCAUGUAGGUACUUGGAUGAGCCUCAUUCUAGGAGAUUGCAAGUCACUCACAUCUUAAGCAAUUUCUACAUCACCAAGUAUCUAUGGUUUGGUUUUUGAAUACAAGGAAGCAUGAAGUCACUCAACAUAUCCUUUGACUAUUUUAAUAUGUCAAAUUUCAUGAUUGUCAAUUUGGAUACACAAGUGCCAUUCCUUGCAAGACUAACCCAUGUAGGAAGAUGAACUUCAACUACAAUGGGUGCUCCCAACUACAUCAACCUUGAGCAUCCAAUAUAAGUUCAACUACAUGAUCAAGAUCAACACCACAACCCAAGGUAUGUCAAUCCAUCUUAGAGAAGCUUUACUACAAGUCAUGAGUUAAAGCAACUCAAUAAGAUGUGAAUACAUCAAAAUGCUUAAACAAAAAAUGGCAACCCCAUUUUGAGCUUAAACGGUGAGUAUGGCCUAUGAUCAAGUGAUCUCACUUGACUCCUAAGUCAAUAUACUCUAACAUAGGUGACUUUGUCGCCGACCAUCUCUAGAUGAAGUUCUCUAGUGUUCUUGUGUAUGUUGAAUUUCCAUUGCAUGUUUUCUUACUAAAGUGUUUCCCUUCUAAAUUAAAAAAACUUCAUCUAGAUCUAUUUUGUAUUUUGUUUCAUUUGUAUCUUUAUCUAAAGUUAAUUCAUUGCAAAUCCUUAUGAAAAUUCCUCGAAAAUCUUUGUGAAAUUUUCAUUUGCCAAGUGAGCUAAGUUGACAAAAUUUUCCUCUGCGUUGAACUCGGUCUCACCAAUCCAAACCCAUUGGCUAGACCGAAACACAAGGUUUCCUUGUACACAGUUCAUCGGUACAACCGACAUGGACUAACACGGUCUUACCCAUGAGCACCUUCAGGGGCUCUGCUAUCUCGGAGUCACCGAUUGAAACAGAUCGGCGUCACUGAUUUCACUGUUGAGAAAAUAUUUUGCCAUUUUAUAUUGCCUAUUUUCUUCAGCUCCACUCAAUGAUUCUUUUCCUCUACCAGCAUCUUAAGGUACAUGCUGCUUUGUAGUGUCUCUCAAGGACCACACCUACCUGACUCAUGUUCCUAAAGUGCCCUUCUUGGAAAUUAAUGUCAAAGGGGGAGAGAGAGCACAUCAAAGCUUAUCAAAUCAAACCUACCAGGAGAAAGAGAGCACAUCUAAGCUCUUCUAAAGAUGCAUGUUAACAAGAGGAGAGAAGUCACAUGUCUUUAAGAGGGGAAAGACAUGUUAGUAUAAUUGAUUCUUUUUGCUCUAUUUUAAGUGAUUUAUCUUUGCACUGAUUUUAUCUCACCCUACCUUCUCCCAUUAUCCAAUGUUAGAUUCAGGGGGAGAAAAAGUCUAUGCUUAAGGGGAGAAAAAUCCUUGGAACUUAUUGCAAAUCUUUAAAUCUUUGGGGACAUGUCUAUAUCUAAAUGAAGUACUCACUUUGUAGUACUCACCUAUUACAUGUCAUCCCAGUCUUGGUAAUCUUGUGGAUUUUGAAAUUAUUUUGUUUGGAGUGUUCUUGUGUUAUCUAACCCUGUUUCUCAAGUCUACUCCAUCAAAAGUCAGCUCAAGAACCACAAGGUAAGUAUAAGCAUCACACUCAUGUGCAUGAUGAUCCCAUGCUUCAUCACAUAUUGUUUGCAAGAGGAAUUCAUAAACAUGAAGGUAAUCUUUGAUGUCUACUACGCAACUUUAUUCUUGUAGACUCGUGUUGGGCCUCCAAGCGCAGAGUUUUGUAGGACAGUAGCAAUUUUCCCUCAAUUGGAUGACCUAAGGUUUAUCAAUCCAUGGUAGGUGUAGGAUAAAGAUGGUCUCUCUCAAACAACCCUGCAACCAAAUACAAGAAAUCUCUUGUGUCCCCAACACACCCAAUACAAUUACAAAUUGUAUAGGUGCACUAGUUCGACGAAAAGAUGGUGAUAAAAGUGUAAUAUUGAUGGUAGAAAUAUAUUUUUUAUAAUCUGAAUAAAUAAAAACAGCAAGGUAGCAAAUAGUAAACGGGCACAAAAACGGUAUUGCAAUGCUUGAAAAUGAGGCCUAGGGUCCAUCCUUUCGCUAGUGCAAUCUCUCAACAGUGCUAAUAUAAUAGGAUCAUAUAACCACCCCUCAAAGUGCGAUGAAGAAUCACUCCAAAGUUCCUAUCUAGCGGAGAACAUAAGAAUAAAUUGUUUGUAGGGUACGAAACCACCUCAAAGCUAUUAUUUCUGUUUGAUCUAUUCAAGAGUUCGUACUAAAAUAACAUAAAGCUAUUCUUUCGGUUUGAUCUAUCCUAGAGUUCGUACUAAAAUAACACCAAAGCAAAUUCAUAUUCAUAAUACUCAAUCCAACACAAAGAACUUCAAAGAGUGCCCCAAGGUUUCUACCGGAGAAGCAAAGAUAAGAACAUGCAUCAACCCCUAUGCAUAGAUUACCCCAAUGUCACCUCGGGAAUCCGCGAGUUGAGUGCCAAAACAUAUAUCAAGUGAACCAAUACGAUACCCCAUUGUCACCACGAGUAUUCAAUUGCAAGACAUAUAUCAAGUGUUCUCAAAUCCAUAAAAGUAUUCAAUCCGAUAACAACGAAAUCUCAAAGGGAAAAACUCAAUUCAUCACAACAAGAUAGAGAGGGGAAAACACCAUAUGAUCCGACUAUAUUAACAAAGCCCGCGAUACAUCAAGAUCGUGACAUCUCAAGAACACGAGAGAGAGAGAGAGAGAUUAAACACAUAGCUACUGGUACAAACCCUCAGCCCCGAGGGUGGACUACUCCCUCCUCAUCGUUGUGGCCGCCAGGAUGAUGAAGAUGGCCACCGGUAAUGAUUCCCCACUCCGGCAGGGUGCCGGAACAGGGUUUAGAUUCCCCGCUCCGGCAGGGUGCCGGAAUGGGGUCUAGAUUGUUUUUCGGUGGCUACAGAGCCUUGCGGCGGCGGAACUUCUGAUCCAGGGUAACCCCGAGGGUUUUUGGAAUUUUUUUGAAUUUAUAGGGUAAAGAGGGGGUGCGGAAGGCCACCGAGGUGGGCACAACCCACCUGGGCGCGCCUGGGCCCCCAGGCGUGCCCUGGUGGGUUGUGCCCCCCUCGGGGCACCCCCCAGGUGCUGCUUUGGCCCAUUGGAAGUCUUCUGGUCCAUAAAAAAUUCCUCAAAAAGUUUCACGGUGUUUGGACUCGGUUUGAUAUUGAUUUCCUGCAAUAUAAAAAACAUGCAAAAAACAGCAACUCGCACUUGGCACUAUGUCAAUAGGUUAGUACAAAAAAUGAUAUAAAAUGAUUAUAAAACAUCCAAGAAUGAUAAUAUAACAGCAUGGAACAAUCAAAAAUUAUAGAUACGUUGGAGACGUAUCAGCAUCCCCAAUCUUAAUUCCUGCUCGUCCUCGAGUAGGUAAAUGAUAAAAACAGAAUUUUUGAUGUGGAAUGCUGCCUAACAUGUCAUCUCAUAUUCUUUUCUUUAUAGCAUGGACAUUUGGACUUUUAUAUGGUUUAGGCAAUAGACUGGUUUUGACAUCAGACUUAAAUACUCAAGCAUAUCAACAAGCAACCAUGUCUUUCAAAAUAUCAACGCUAAAAUAAAUUAUCCCUAGCCCAUCAUGCUCAAUCAUUGAUCCAUUCAUGAAACACACUCGCAUAUUAGCUACACCCAAUGCUCAAGUACGAUCAUAGUGCCUCCUAGUUCGUUCUUUAUAAGAGAAUAUAGAGACUCAAAUUAAAAAAAUUGCAUAAAGUAAAAGAUAGGCCCUUCGCGGAGGGAAGUAGGGAUUUGUAGAGGUGCCAGAGCUCAAAGCGAAAAUUGAAAGAUAAAAAAAAUUGAGAGGCAUACUUUUCCCACCAACGAAAAUGAUUUAGAGCUCCCAACACUUUCCAUGCUAGAUAUAUCAUAGGCGGUUCCCAAACAGAAAAUAAAGUUUAUUCCUUUUACCACCAUACUUUCACUUUCCAUGGCUAACCGUAUCCACGGGUGCCCUCCAUACCAACACUUUCCAAGGAAUUUAUUAUUUGAAAACAUAAAGUAAAUUCAUUUUUCAUUUCGGGACUGGGCAUCCCUAAUACCUUUGCCUUACUCUCGUGCAAUGACAAGUGAAUAAACAAUCAUCGUGAGAAUAACACAUCUAGCAUGGAAAAUAUUGGCCACCCCUCACCGCCUCGCGGGCGGUACUGAUACGUCUCCAACGUAUCUAUAAUUUUUUAUUGUUCCAUGCUAUUUUAUUAUCAAUCUUGGAUGUUUUAUAAUCAUUUUAUAGUCAUUUUAUAUCAUUUUUUGAUACUAACCUAUUUACAUAGUGCCAAAGGCCAGUUGUUGUUUUCUGCAUGUUUUUUACAUCACAGGAAAUCAAUAUCAAACGGAGUCCAAAUGCCCUGAAACUACUUUUGUGAUUUUUUAUGGGCCAGAAGGAAGGCAAUGGGCCCUGGUUGCACCUCGAAAGUGCCCCGAGGGGGGCACAAUACACGAGGGCGUGCCCGGAGGCCCUGGCGCGCCCUGGUGGGUUGUGCCCACCUGGGGCACCCCCCGGACCGCCUCUUUGCUCUAUAAAUACCCCAACAUUCCAGAAACCCUAGGGGAGUCGACGAAAUAUUAAUCCAGCCGCCGUAGAGUCCAGAACCACCAGAUCCAAUCUAGACACCGUCACAGAGGGGUUCACCACUUCCAUUGGUGCCUCUCCGAUGAUGCAUGAGUAGUUCUUUGUAGACCUUCGGGUCCGUAGUUAGUAGCUAGAUGGCUUCCUCUCUCUCGCUGGAUUCUCAAUACAAUGGUCUCUUGGAGAUCCAUAUGAUGUAGCUCUUUUUGCGGUGUGUUUGUUGGGAUCUGAUGAACUUUGAGUUUAUGAUCAGUUAUAUGUUUUUAUAUCCAUGAAAGUUAUUUGAGUUUCUUUGAUCUCUUAUAUGCAUGAUCUCUUAUAGCCUCGUAUUUCUUCUCCAAUAUUUGGGUUUUGUUUGGCCAACUUGAUCUAUUUAUCUUGCAAUGGGAAGAGGUGCCCGGUAGUGGGUUCGAUCUUACGGUGCUUGAUCCCUGUGACAGAAAGGGAACCAACACGUAUGUAUCGUUGCUACUAAGGAUAAAAAGACGAGAUCUAUAUCUACCGCCAUAUAGAUAAAUGGAUCUUGUCUACAUCAUGUCAUCUUUCUUAAUGCAUUACUCCGUUUUUCCAUGAACUUAAUACACUAGAUGCAUGCUGGAUAGCGGUCGAUGUGUGGAGUAAUAGUAGUAGAUGCAGGCAGGAGUCGGUCUACUAAUCUUGGACGUGAUGCCUAUGUAUUGAUCAUUGCCUAGAUAUCGUCAUAAUUAUUUGAAGUUCUAUUACUUGCCCAACAGUAAUUUGUUUACCCACCGUUUGCUAUUUUUCUCAAGAGAAGCCACUAGUGAAACCUACGGCCCCGGUGUCUUCUUCCUCAUAUAUUUGCCUUGCGAUCUACUUUUCCUUUGCGUUUUUAUUCAGAUCUAUUAAACCAAAAAAUACAAAAAUACCUUGCUGCACUUUUAUUUAUUUGCUAUCUAUUAUUUCAACCUAUUCCAACUUUCUCCCGUCAACUUGCCAAUUUUUGGCGCCGUACCCCGGAAGGGAUUGACAACCCCUUUAACACGUCGGGUUGCGAGGUGUUGUUAUUUGUGUGCAGGUGUUGCUUACGUUGUGCUUGCUUGGUUCUCCUACUGGUUCGACACCUUGGUUUCAUAACUGAGGUAAAUACCUACCGUUGCUGUGCUACAUCAUCCUCUCCUCUUGGGGGAAAUAUCGACGUAGUAAGAGAAGACAUCAAGGGAAAUUUCUGGCGCCGUUGCCGGGGAGGAUCAAGUCAAGAUAGUCUCCCGGCCACGUGCCUUUCUGGCGCCGUUGCCGGGGAGGAUCUUCAACAUAACCAUGUUCCUAAUCACAAAUCUCAUCUCCUCGCAAUUUACAUUAUUUGCCAUUUGCCUCUUGUUUUCCUCUCCCCCACUUCACAAAAAUUUGCCGUUUUAUUUGCCCUCUUUUUCGUUCGCCUUUUUCUUGUUAGAUCUCUUGUUUGCUAUCUCUACUUGUGUUACCAUGUGCCUUCUAUUUGCUUGCAUCUUCGCUUGCUAAAAAUCUCUUGAUAUGGAACCUCAUCCACUUGCUAAUCUUUUUAAAAGAUCCAAUCUUGAUCAACCAAUUGCUAGUGAGUUGAGUGCACUAGAUUAUCUUUAUGAAGUUUUGCUUGAGAUUCGUGAAUCUGAAAAUUGUGAUGAAGAAAUUUAUGAAGUGAUUAAUAGCUCCUUGAAUGAAAAGCAUGAUUGCAAUGAUUUUACUAUAAAUUCUAUUAAUGUCAAUUGUGCAAUUAAUAUGCAAAACCCAAAGCUUGGGGAUGCUAAUUUUGCUAUGUCCACUACUUGUUGCAAUGAUCAUGAUUGGGGUGAUGAUUCUUAUGAUCUUGAAAGUUUGUUUAAAUCUCAUGAUGAAUAUGCUUGCGAUAAUAUUAAAAGUGGGUUUGGAAGAGUGGUCAACUUUAGCUAAGAAUAAUCCCACAUAUUUGGAGAGUGUUCAAUCUUAUGAAUUUUUUUAUGAAAGUGGGCUUGGAGAGGUCAUGACUUUAUUUGAUGAUAAUACCACUAUUUUGGAAGAGUGUCAACUUUAUAUGCAUGUGGAUCAUGAAGAGAAUAUUAUUUGUGAUAGUUAUAUUGUUGAAUUUGAAUAUGAUCCUACAUUUAAUUAUUAUGAGAGAGGAAAAUAUGGUUGUAGCAAUUUUCAUGUUAUUAAAUUUCCUCUUGUUGUGUUGAGAUUGUCAAUGUUUUAUUCCUCUCCUUUGCAUAUGCUAGAUGUUUCUUGUCUUGAUAAUUUGUUUUCCUAUAAAAUUCCUAUGCUUAGGAAGUAUGUUAGACUUAAAUGUGUUUGUAACAUGUUUCAUGAUGCUCUCUUUGUCUUUCGAUUAUUACAUGUUGUGUGAGCAUCGUUGAAAUAUUAUGCCUAGCUAGGGGCGUGAAACUAUAACGCUUGUUGGGAGGCAACCCAAUGAAUAAAAUUUAUUUUUUCUUUUUGCUUUCUGUUCUUGAGUGUUUACACAAUUAUGCCUCUGGUAUGAUUGUGUUUUGUGUGUUUUAAUUAGUGUUUGUGCCAAGUAAAGCCUAUAGGAUCUUCUUGGGUGAUAGUUGUUUGAUCUUGCUGAAAAAGACAGAAACUUUGUGCUCACAAAAACAAUUGUUAAAAAUCACCAGAACGUGAUAAAUGCCAAUUCGUUAUGCAGAAGAUUAAUAUACAAAUUACCCAGGUCUUCCUAUAUUGGUAGAAUUGUUGGAGUUACAGAAGUAUUCGCCAAAGCCAGAUUACUACAGACUGUUCUGUUUUGACAGAUUCUGUUCUCUUUGUGUUGUGUGCUUAUUUUGAUGGCUCUAUGGUUUUCUUUGAUGAGUUUUUGCCAUAGAAAAGUUGGAAUACAGUAUAUAUAAUGCAAAAACAAAAUAUGAAUUGGUUUUAUACAGUACUUAUACUAGUAGUUUUGCUUUCUUAUACUAACGGAUCUCACGAAGGUUUUGUUGAGUUUUGUGUGAUUGAAGUUUUCAAGUUUUGAGUUAUCUUACGAUGGAUGAAGGAAGGAUGUAAGAGCCUAAGCUUGGGGAUGCCCUGGCAUCCCAAGCUAUUAUCCAAGAAUGAGCAACCAACUAAGCUUGGGGAUGCCCCCGAGUGGCAUCCCCGCUUUCUUCCAACAACUAUCGGUAUUUUACUUGAGACUAUAUUUUUAUUCUUCACAUGAUAUGUGCUUUGCUUGGAGGGUCUUGUAUGAUAUGUGUCUUUGCUUGUUUUAUUUUCUGUUUUAAGUCAUCAAUCCUUGCUGGACACACCUAUUUGAGAGAGCCAAAAUUAUAUCAUGACUUGUUAGAAUUGCUCUCUGUGCUUCACUUAAAUCUUUUAUGAGCUAGGACUUGCUCUAGUGCUUCACUUAUAUCUUUUUUAGCACGGUGUGCUUAGUUAUUUUUGAAGAAAUACUCUCUUGCUUCACUUAUAUUUAUUUGAGAUUUAGUAAAUUUUUGAAGAAAUUCUCUCUUGCUUCACUUAAAUUAUUUUGAGAGAAAGAAAAUUUGUUAUGCUCAUGAUCUUCACUUAUAUUUGUUUGAGCUUAUGAAAAGCAACUCAUGAAAAUUAGUGCCAAAGUGAUAGAUAUCCAAGAAGGAUAAAGUAAAAAUGUCACGAAGAUCAUUGGAGAAAAUAAACUUUGUUCUUAGUAAUAGUUUUGAGAUAUGAUGAUGUGAUAUGUGAGUUAUGUUGAUGAGUAAUUGUGCUCUAGUAAGAAUAUUGGUGUUAAGGUUUGUCAUUCCCUAUGCAUGGACGAAAGUCGAUAAUCAUGCAAUGGAAAUUAUAUCCUACUUGUGGUACAUUAUUCGGUGUUACUUAUGCUUAAUGCUUGCUUUUUACGAAAUUAUUCGUUUCUUGGUUGGUCGCUUCUCAAUCUUUUUGCUAGCCUUCAUUUUGCACCAAGUAUGAUCUCUACUUGUGCAUCCAAAAUACUUUAAACCAGUUUUGCCACAUGAGUCCACUAUACCUACCUAUAUGCGGUAUUCUUUUGCUGUUCUAAGAAAAUUUGCAUGUGCCAUCUCUAAUUUUCAAAAUAAACUUCUCUUUUGUGUAUUUUGUUUCGCUCGCGGAACGGUAACGGGUGGCUAAUUUUUUCCAUGCUGGAUGUGUUAUUCUCAAGAUAAGUGUUUAUUCACUUGUCAUUGCACGAGAGUAAGGCAAAGGUUUUAGGGAUUCCCAGUCCCGAAAUGCAAAAAUGAAUUUACUUUAUGUUGUCAAAUAAUAAAUUCCUUGGAAAGUGUCCUUGAUCGGCCUGCCAAUGGGCACGACGAGGCCCAGUGUCCUUGAUCUUAUGCCGCUGGUUCAUGCAGUUGAGCGGAAGACAUCCACUGCGCUGUCACUGAUGUCAUCCGGGGCUAAACUGACCUUGGUCAAUUCAGUUGUGACUUCGAUGCUGAUAUAUGCAAUGUGCACAAUCAAAAUGCACCCAAAGGUGAUUGAACAUCUGGACAAGCUACGUAGAUAUUGCCUCUGGGCUAAAAACUCUGACGACGGGGUCAAAAAUAACUCUCUCGUGGCCUGGGAACUUGUCUGCCGCCCAAAACGUUGCGGAGGCCUUAGUGUUAUUGAUAUUAAAACACAGAAUGCAGCCCUCCUCCUAAAAUAUCUAUUCAAAUUCUAUAAUCAUGAAGAUGUUCCCUGGGUGGAGCUUGUUUGGGAUGCCUACUACAGAAACAAGAUAUCGCAUGCAUCUGAGGCGGUGGGCUCUUUCUGGUGGAAAGAUGUGAUGCAACUCAGUGGGAUCUUCCGAGGGAUCACUAAAGUCACCCCCAGGGAUGGCUCUAGUGCUCUGUUCUGGAAGGAUGUUUGGUUUGAUAAUACUCAGGAUUCCCCAAUAAUGGAUAUAUACCCACGAGCCUUUUCAUUUUGCUUGAAUGAGGACGACUACAUUGCUAAGGUUCUUACUGCAACUGACCCAGCCACGAUUUUUAGCCUACCUCUCUCGACCCAGGCGAGAGAGGAAAUCAAAGAGAUCCAGGAGGGGUUGCCGCAAAAUCGGCUGGCCGCCGAUAGCUGUGAUGUCUGGGAAUGCAUGCUCGGGCGUUUUUCGUCCAAGAAGUUCUAUAACCACUGUUACAAACAGGUUGUGGCAGAUGAGGCGUUUGGAUGGCUCUAGAAAGCUAAAAGCCCGAUCAAAUUCAAGAUGUUUGGGUGGCUACUCCUAGUUGAUCGUCUGAAUACCAGGAAUAUGCUCAAACGCAGACAUUUUGUUGUCGUGGGGGGCAACUAUGCAUGCAUGUUCUGUCAAAACCCUCCAGAGGAAACGGUGGAACAUCUGUUCUUCAAUUGCCCCUUUAGUCAACGCUGCUGGGAUGUAGUUGGAAUGACAUGGCCGAUAGAUGACAACAGACUGGCUCUUCUGCAUGGAGGUAGGGAUAAUUGGAGACAACCUCUCUUCAUGGAUAUCUUUCUCUUGGCUGCUUGGAGUCUUUGGAUGGAGAGAAACAAUCAACACUUUAGAGGGAUUCAGCACUCCUAUGGAGCAUGGCUAGCUAGAUUCAAGCAUCUCUUGGAGCUGCUAACACAUAACUGCCGAGAGGAACUUCAUCCCUUCCUGUCUAAUUACAUUGUAAAUUUCGGUCACUAGGACCGUGGAUAGCUAGCAUGGCCGGGGGGCCACAAAAACCCUUUGUAACACAUAUGUAAUUGUUCCUUUGUGAGUAAUACAAAGUCAGUGGGAGCCUCUCCCACUGUCGUUCUUCCUCAAAAAAAUAAAUUCCUUGGAAAGUGUUGGUAUGGAGGGCACCCGUGGAUACGGUUAGCCAUGGAAAGUGAAAGAAAUGGUGGAAAAAGGAAUAACCUUUAUUUUUUGUUUGGGAACCGCCUAUGGCAUAUCUAGCAUAGAAAGUGUUCGCAGCUCUACGUCGUUUUCGUUGGUGGGAUGGAUGCACCUCCCAAAAUGUUUUUAUCUCUAAUUUUUUGCUUUGAGCUCUGGCACCUCUACAAAUCCCUACAUCCCUCUGUGAAGGGCCUUUCUUUUACUUUAUGCAAUUUUUACUUUUGAAUUUGAGUCUCCAUCUUCUCUUAUAAAAGCACCGACUAAGAGGCAAUAUGAUCGUGAGUAACUAUUGGGUAUAGCUAGCAUUCGAAUGUGUUUCAUGAAUGGAUCAAUGUUUGAGCAUGAUGGGCUAGGGAUAACUUAUUUUAGCAUUGAUAUUUUCAAAGACAUGGUUGCUUGUUGAUAUGCUUGAGUAUCUAAAUUAUUAUGUCAAAACUAGACUAUUGCUUUGAAUCACAUAAAAUUCCAAAUGUCCAUGCUAUAAAGAAAAGAAUAUGAUAUGACUUGAUAAACAGCACUCCACAUCAAAAAUUUUGUUUUUGUCACUUACCUACUCGAGGACGAGCAGGAGUUAAGCUUGGGGAUGCUGAUACGUCUCCAACGUAUCUAUAAUUUUUGAUUGUUCCAUGCAGUUUUAUUAUCAAUCUUGGAUGUUUUAUAAUCAUUUUAUAGCCAUUUUAUAUCAUUUUUUGGUACUAACCUAUUGACAUAGUGCCAAAGGCCAGUUGCUAUUUUCUGCAUGAUUUUUACAUCACAGGAAAUCAAUAUCAAACGGAGUCCAAAUGCCCCGAAACUAUUUUUGUGAUUCUUUUAUGGGCCAGAAGGAAGGCAAUGGGCCCUGGUUGCACCUGGGAAGUGCCCCGAGGAGGGCACAAUACACCGGGGUGCGCCAGGAGGCCCAGGCACGCCUUGGUGGGUUGUGCCCACCUCGCGCACCCCCCGGACCGCCUCUUUGCUCUAUAAAUACCCCAAUAUUCCAGAAACCCUAGGGGAGUCGACGAAAUAUUCAUCCAGCCGCCGCAGAGUCCAGAACCACCAGAUCCAAUCUAGACACCGUCACGGAGGGGUUCACCACUUCCAUUGGUGCCUCCCCAAUGAUGCGUGAGUAGUUCUCUGUAGACCUUCGGGUCCGUAGUUAGUAGCUAGAUGGCUUCCUCUCUCUCGUUGGAUUCUCAAUACAAUGGUCUCUUGGAGAUCCAUAUGAUGUAACUCUUUUUGCGGUGUGUUUGUUGGGAUCUGAUGAACUUCGAGUUUAUGAUCAGUUAUAUGUUUUUAUAUCCAUGAAAGUUAUUUGAGUUUCUUUGAUCUCUUAUAUGCAUGAUCUCUUUAGCCUUGUAUUUCUUCUCGGAUAUUUGGGUUUUGUUUGGCCAACUUUAUCUAUUUAUCUUGCAAUGGGAAGAGGUGCCCGAUAGUGGGUUCGAUCUUACGGUGCUUGAUCCUAGUGACAGAAAGGGAACCAACAUGUAUGUAUCGUUGCUACUAAGGAUAAAAAGACGAGAUCUAUAUCUACCGCCAUACAGAUAAAUGGAUCUUUUCUACAUCAUGUCAUCUUUCUUAAUGCAUUACUCCUUUUUUCCAUGAACUUAAUACACUAGAUGCAUGCUGGAUAGCGGUCGAUGUGUGGAGUAAUAGUAGUAGAUGCAGGCAGGAGUCGGUCUACUAAUCUUGGACGUGAUGCCUAUGUAUUGAUCAUUGCCUGGAUAUCGUCAUAAUUAUUUGGAGUUCUAUCAAUUGCCCAACAGUAAUUUGUUUACCCACCAUUUGCCAUUUUUCUCGAGAGAAGCCACUAGUGAAACCUACGGCCCCCGGGUCUUCUUCCUCAUAUAUUUGCCUUGCGAUCUACUUUUCCUUUGCGUUUUUAUUCAUAUGUAUUAAACCAAAAAAUACAAAAAUACCUUGAUGCACUUUUAUUUAUUUGCGAUCUAUUAUUUCAACCUAUUCCAAUUUUUCUCCCGUCAACUUGCCAAUUUCUGGCGCCGUACCCCGGAAGGGAUUGACAACCCCUUUAACACGUCGGGUUGCGAGGUGUUGUUAUUUGUGUGCAGGUGCUGGUUACAUUGUGCUUGCUUGGUUCGCCUACUGGUUCGAUACCUUGGUUUCAUAACUGAGGGAAAUACCUACCGUUGCUGUGCUACAUCAUCCUCUCCUUUUGGGGGAAAUACCGACGUAGUAACAGAAUACAUCAGGUACGAGCACACAAAAGAGAAAUUUAUUUUGAAAAUUAGAGAUGGCACAUACAAAUUUUCUGAGAACGGCAAAAGAAUACCGCAUAUAGGUAGGUAUAGUGGACUCUUGUGGCAAUACUGGUUUAAAGGAUUUUGGAUGCACCAGUAGUGAUCAUACUUGGUGCAAAAUGAAGGCUAGCAAAAGAUUGAGAAGCGAUCAGCCAAGAAACAAAUAAUCUCAUAAGCGAGUAUUGAGCAUAAUUAACACAAUGCACCACAAGUAGGAUGUAAUUUCAUUGCAUAACUAUUGACUUUCGUGCUUCCAUAGGGAAUCACAAACCUUAACACCAAUAUUCUUACUAAAGCACAAUUACUCAUCAACAUGACUCACAUAUCACAUCAUCAUAUCUCAAAACUAUUACAAGAAAUCAAGUUUAUUUUGUCCAAUGAUCUUAAUGAAAGUUUUUAUUAUAUCCUUCUUGGAUAUCUAUCACUUUGGGACUAAUUUUCAUGUGUUGCUUUUGAUAAGCUCAAAUAAAUAUAAGUGAAGAUCAUGAGCAUAAUAUUUUCUUUCUCUCAAAUUAAUUUAAGUGAAGCAAGAGAGAAUUUCUUCAAAAAUACUACAGCACACCGUGCUCAAAAAGAUAUAAGUGAAGCAUUAGAGCAAUUCCAUAGAAAAGAGCUUCAUUGACGGGAUGUGAGUCCCGCUUACCUAGCCUCUCUCGCAACUAUUUGAGGACUCUAUUUUAUUUAAAAACUUCCAGUUCUAAGUAUUUUAUUAAAACAACAAGCAAAACAAAAUAAAAGGACAUUCUAAGAAUAGCACACAUCAUGUGAAGAAGCAAAAACUUAGGAUCAACCGAUACUAACCGAUAAUUGUUGGUGAAGAAAGGUGGGAUGCCUACCGGGGCAUCCCCAAGCUUAGAUGCUUGAGACUUUUUGAAAUAUUAUCUUGGGAUGCCUUGGGCGUCCCCAAGCUUGAGCUUUUGUGUCUCCUUAAUUCCUUUUAUACCACGGUUUCCCUAAAUCCAAAAAACUUCAUCCACACAAAACUCAACAAGAACUCGUGAGAUAAGUUAGUAUAAACCAAUGCAAAAACCUUAUCAUUCUCUACUGCAGCAAAUCACUAAAAUUAUUCUUCAACAUUUCAUACUAAAUGCCUCUGCAUAUUUAAUACUCCUAUCCUCAAAUAGCAUCAUUAAACAAGCAAACAUAUGCAAACAAUGCAAUCAUAACAGCAAGCUGCCAAAACAGGAUAGUCUGUAAAGAAUACAGAAUUAAUCAUACUUCCCUAACUCCAAAAAUUCUGAAAAAUACCACACUGUAGAAAAUUUAUCAGAGAUUACUAUGCAAAAAGUUUCAACAUUUUAUCACAUUCUGAAGUUUCUGGGGAAUUUUUGCAACAGCGAUAAACUUUCUAUUUUGAAAUAGGAACAUGUAUACUUGCAAGAUAAGCAUGGCAAAGGUUAUACUUGACAUUUUUAUUGAAAUAAAAGAUGCAAAACAUUAUUAUAAAUAACAGCAAGCAAAUCCUAGCAACAGGAAAUGACGCUCCAAGUAAAACUCAUAUCAUGUGAUGAAUAAAAAUAUCGCUCUAAGUAAGGUUACCGAUAAUGUUGGAGACAAAAGAGGGGAUGCCUUCCGGGGCAUCCCCAGGCUUAGUUGCUUGGAUAUUCCUUGGAUAUUAACUUGGGGUGCCUUGCGCAUCCCCAAGAUUAGGUUCUUCUCACUCCUUGUUCUCCUCAUAUCGACAUCUCACCCAAAACUUGAAAACUUCAAUCACACAAAACUUAACGGAACUUCGUGAGAUAGGUUAGUAUGAUAAAGAGCAAACCAUUUCACUUUGAUACUAUCAAAGACAAGAUUCAUAAUUGUUUCCACACAAUGCCUACUGUAGCAUAUCAUUUCCACAAUUUAUAUUGAGCAAUAUAAGCCAUAGAAACUAGGAAACAAGCAAAAUAUGCAUUGAAAACAGAAUCAGUCAAAAACAGAACAGUCUGUAGUAAUCUGUACUCAAACCAUACUUCUGCUACUCCAAAAAUUAUGAAAUAAUUAGGAACACGUGAGCAAUUUGUAUAUUAAUCUUCUACAAAAAGAAUUGACUCAAAUCACUCCUCUGUAAAAAAAGAGAACUAUUUUUGUGAGCGCAAAAGUUUAUGUUUUCAGCAAGAUCAAAUUAACUAUCACCCACACUAUCCCAAAGGAUUUACUUGGCACUUUAUUGAAACAAAACAAUAAAACAUGAUUACUACAGUAGCUUAAUCAUGUGAACACACAAAAACAGUAGGUAAAAGUGUUGGGUUGUCUCCCAACAAGCGCUUUUCUUUAAUGCCUUUUAGCUAGGCAUGAUGAUUUCAAUGAUGCUCGCAUAAAAGAUAAGAAUUGAAACACAUAGAGAGCAUCAUGAAGCACAUGACUAGCACAUUUAAGUCUAAACCACUUCUUAUGCAUAGGGAUUUUGUGAGCAAACAACUUAUGGGAACAAGAAUCAACUAGCAUAGGAAGGCAAAACAAGCAAAACUUCAAGAUUUUCAACACAUAGAGAGGAAACUUGAUAUUAUUGCAAAUAUGUAGAAGCAUAUGUUCCUCCCUCAUAAUAAUUUUCAGUAGUAUCAUGAAGAAAUUCAACAAUAUAACCAUCACAUAAAUCAUUCUUUUCAUGACACAAAAGCAUAGAAAACUUAUUACUCUCCACAUAAGCAAAUUUCUUCUCAUCAAUAGUAGUGGGAGCAAACUCAACAAAAUAACUAUCAUGAGAGUGAAAAUUAAAAUCAUGAUGAAAAGUUUCAUGGUUAUCAUUAUUCUUAGUAGCAUACACGUCAUCGCCAUAAUCAUCAUAGAUAGCAACUUUGUUGUCAUAGUCAAUUGAAGCCUCAUCCAAAAUGGUGGAUUCAUCACAAAAUAAAGUCAUGACCUCUCCAAAUCCACUUUCAUCAUUAUAAUCAUCAUAAAUAGGAGGCAUGCAAUCAUUAUAACAAAUUUUUCCAUCAAAUCUUGGGGGACUAAAAAUAUCAUCUUCAUCGAACAUAGCAUCCCCAAGCUUAUGGCUUUGCAUAUCAUUAGUAUCAUGGAUAUUCAAAGAAUUUGUACUAACAACAUUGCAAUCAUGCUCAUCAUUUAUACCAAACAUUCUAUUGAAUUCUUCUUCUAUCAAUUGAGCACAAUUUUCCUUUUCAUCAUUUUCACGAAAGACAUUAUAAAGAUGAACAAUAUGAUGCAACCUCAAUUCCAUUUUUUGUAGUUUUAUUUUUAUAAACCAAACUAGUGAUAAAACAAGAAACUAAAAGAUUCGAUUGCAAGAUCUAAAGAUUGCCUUCAAGCACUCACCUCCCCGGCAACGGCGCCAGAAAAGAGCUUGAUGUCUACUAUGCAACUUUAUUCUUGUAGACUCGUGUUAGGCCUCCAAUCGCAGAGUUUUGUAGGACAGUAGCAAUUUUCCCUCAAGUGGAUGACCUAAGGUUUAUCAAUCCGUGGGAGGUGUAGGAUGAAGAUGGUCUCUCUCAAAAAACCCUGCAACCAAAUACAAGAAAUCUCUUGUGUCCCCAACACACCCAAUACAAUGGCAAAUUGUAUAGGUGCACUAGUUCGGCGAAGAGAUGGUGAUAAAAGUGCAAUAUUGAUGGUAGAAAUAUAUUUUUAUAAUCUAAAAAAAUAAAAACAGCAAGGUAGAAAAUAGUAAACGGGCACAAAAACGGUAUUGCAAUGCUUGUAAAUGAGGCCUAGGGUCCGUCCUUUCGCUAGUGCAAUCUCUCAACAGUGCUAAUAUAAUUGGAUCAUAUAACCUAUUGGAAAUAUGCCCUAGAGGCAAUAAUAAAGUGGUUAUUAUUAUAUUUCCUUAUUCAUGAUAAUUCUCUGUUGUUCAUGAUAUAAUUGUAUUAACCGGAAACCGUAAUACAUGUGUGAAUACAUAGACCGUAAUAUGUCCCUAGUAAGCCUCUAGUUGACUAGCUCAUUGAUCAAUAGAUGGUUGUGGUUUCCUGACCAUAGACAUUGGAUGUUAUUGAUCACGGGAUCACAUCAUUAGGAGAAUGAUGUGAUGGACAAGACCCAAUCCUAUGCAUAGCACAAGAUCGUGUAGUUCGUUUUGCUAGAGCUUUUCUAAUAUCAAGUAUCGCUUCCUUAGACCAUGAGAUUGUGCAACUCCCGGACACCGUAGGAAUGCUUUGGGUGUACCAAACGUCACAACGUAACUGGGUGGCUAUAAAGGUGCACUACAGGUAUCUCCGAAAGUGUCUGUUGGGUUGGCACGAAUCGAGACUGGGAUUUGUCACUCCGUAUGACGGAGAGGUAUCUCAGGGCCCACUCGGUAAUGCAUCAUCAUAAUGAGCUCAAUGUGACUAAGAAGUUAGUCACGGGAUCAUGCGUUACGGAACGAGUAAAGAUACUUGUCGGUAACGAGAUUGAACGAGGUAUGGGGAUACCGAUGAUCGAAUCUCGGGCAAGUAACAUACUGAUGGACAAAGGGAAUUGUAUACGGGAUUGGUUGAAUCCCUGACAUCGUGGUUCAUCCGAUGAUAUCAUCGUGGAACAUGUGGGAGCCAACAUGGGUAUCCAGAUCCCGCUGUUGGUUAUUGGCCGGAGAGAUGUCUCGGUCAUGUCUGCCGUAGGGUCCACACGCUUAAGGUUCGGUGACGCUAGAGUUGUUAUGGGAAAUUGUAUGUGAUUACCGAAGGUUGUUCCGAGUCCCGUAUGAGAUCCCGGACGUCACGAGGAGUUCCGGAAUGGUCCAGAGUUAAAGACUUAUAUAUGGGAAGUCCAAUUUCAGUCACCGAAAUGGUUUUGGGGGUUAUCGGUAUUGUACCGGGACCACCGAAAGGUGUCUGGGGGUCCACCUGCCCCGGGGGACUUAAUGGGCUGAACAAGGGUGGGAACCAGCCCCCUAGUGGGCUGGUGCACCCCCAAGGGGCCAAAGCACCGAGGGUUGGAAACCCUAGGGGGUGAGGGCGCCUCCCACCAAACUUGGGGGGCAAGUUCCCCCCUUGGCCGCCGCCCCCCUUGUAGAUGGGAUCUAAGGGGGCCGGCCCCCUCUCCCCUUCCCCUAUAAAUAGUGGGGGUGGGAGGGCUGCCAUACCCCUUCCCUGGCGCAACCCUCCCCCUCUCCAACACCUCCUCCUCCGUAGUGCUUGGCGAAGCCCUGUCGGAGAACAACAAGCUCCACCACCACGCCGUCGUGCUGCCGGAGCUCUCCCUCAACUUCUCCUCUCCCCUUGCUGGAUCAAGAAGGAGGAGACGUCCCCGGGCUGUACGUGUGUUGAACACGGAGGUGGCGUCCGUUCGGCACUUGGAUCGGAUCUUCCGCGAUUUGAAUCACCGCGAGUACGACUCCAUCAACCGCGUUCUUGUAACGCUUCUGCUUAGCGAUCUUCAAGGGUAUGAAGAUGCACUCCCCCUCUCUUGUUGCUAGCAUCUCCUAGAUUGAUCUUGGUGACACGUAGGAAUUUUUUUGAAUUAUUGCGACGUUCCCCAACAGUGGCAUCAUGAGCCAGGUCUAUGCGUAGAUUCUAUGCAUGAGUAGAACACAAGUAGUUGUGGGCGAUGAUUUGUUCAAUUUGCUUACCGUUACUAGUCUUAUCUUGAUUCAGCGGCAUUGUGGGAUGAAGCGGCCCAGACCGACCUUAUACGUACGCUUACGUGAGACUGGUUCCACCGACUGACAUACACUUGAUGCAUAAGGUGGCUAGCGGGUGUCUGUCUGUCCCACUUUAGUCAGAUCGGAUUCGAUGAAGAGGGUUCUUAUGAAGGGUAAAUAGCAAUUGGCAUAUCACCGUUGUGGCUUUUGCGUAGGUAAGAAACGUUCUUGCUAGAAACCCAUAGCAGCCACAUAAAACAUGCAACAACAAUUAGAGGACGUCUAACUUGUUUUUGUAGGGUAUGCUAUGUGAUGUGAUAUGGCCAAAAGGACGUGAUGAAUUAUAUAUGUGAUGUAUGAGAUUGAUCAUGUUCUUGUAAUAGGAAUCACGACUUGCAUGUCGAUGAGAAUGACAACCGGCAGGAGCCAUAGGAGUUGUCUUAAUUUAUUGUAUGACCCGCGUGUCAUUGAAAACGCCAUGUAAUUACUUUACCCUAUUGCUAACCGUUAGCCAUAGUGGUAGAAGAAAUAGUUGGCGAGACAACUUCAUGAAGACACAAUGAUGGAGAUCAUGGUGUCAUGCCGGUGACGAAGGUGAUCAUGCCGCGCCUCGAAGAUGGAGAUCAAAAGGCGCAAGAUGAUAUUGGCCAUAUCAUGUCACUUUAUGAUUUGCAUGUGAUGUUUGUCAUGUUUACAUCUUAUUUGCUUAGAAUGACAGUAGCAUAAAUAAGAUGAUCCCUCACUAAAAUUUCAAGAGAUGUGUUCCCCCUAACUGUGCACCGCUGCGAAGGUUCGUUGUUUCGAAGCACCAUGUGAUGAUCGGGUGUGAUAGAUUCUAACGUUCGCAUACAACGGUUGUAAGCCAGAUUUAUACAUGCAAAACACUUAGGUUGACUUGACGAGCCUAGCAUGUACAGACAUGGCUUCGGAACACGAGAGACCGAAAGGUCGAACAUGAGUCGUAUAGUAGAUACGAUCAACAUGGAGAUGUUCACCGUUGAUGACUACUCCGUCUCACGUGAUGAUCGGACAUGGCCUAGUCGAUUCGGAUCAUGUAUCACUUAGAUGACUAGAGGGAUGUCUAUUUGAGUGGGAGUUCAUUAAAAAAUUUGAUUAGAUGAACUUAAUUGUCAUGAACAUAGUCUAAAUAUCUUUACAAUAUGUCUUGUAGAUCAAAUGGCCCACACUAAUGUUUCCCUCAACUUCAACGCAUUCCUAGAGAAAACCAAGUUGAAAGACGAUGGUAGCAACUACAUGGACUGGGUCCGUAACUUGAGGAUCAUCCUCAUAGCUGCCAAGAAAGCCUAUGUCCUUGAAGCACCGCUAGGUGAAGCACCCAUUUUCCUAGCAACUCAAGACAUUAUAAACGUCUGGUAGUCGCGUAGUGAUGAUUACUCCCUGGUUCAGCGCGGCAUGCUUUACAGCUUAGAACCGGGGCUCCAAAAGCAUUUUGAGCAGCACGGAGCAUAUGAGAUGUUCCAAGAGCUAAAAAUGGUUUUCCAAGCUCAUUCUCGGGUCGAGAGAUAUGAAGUCUCCGACAAGUUCUACAGUUGUAAGAUGGAGGAAAACAGUUCUGUCAGCGAGCAUAUACUCAAGAUGUCUGGGUUGCACAACCGCUUGUCUCAGCUGGGAGUUAAUCUUCCAGAUGACUCGGUCAUUGACAGAAUCCUCCAGCCGCUUCCACCUAGCUACAAGAGCUUUGUGAUGAACUACAAUAUGCAAGGGAUGGAAAAGACCAUUCCUGAGUUAUAUUCAAUGCUGAAAUCAGCGGAGGUGGAGAUCAAAAAGGAACAUCAAGUGUUGAUGGUGAAUAAGACCACUGGUUUCAAGAAAGGCAAGGGUAAGAAGAACUUCAAGAAGGACGGCAAGGGAGUUGCCACGUCCGGUAAGUCAAUUGCUGGGAAGAAGACAAAUAAUGGACGCAAGCCUGAGAGUGAGUGCUUUUAUUGCAAGAGAAAUGGUCACUGGAAGCGGAUAAGAAGGCCGGCAACACCAAAGGUAUAUAUGAUAUACAUGUUAUUGAUGUGUACCUUACCAGCACUCGUAGUAGCUCCUGGGUAUUUGAUACCGGUGCGGUUGCUCAUAUUUGUAACUCAAAACAGGAGCUCUAGAAUAAGCGGAGACUUGCGAAGGACGAGGUGACGAUGCGCGUCGGGAAUGGUUCCAAGGUCGAUGUGAUCGCCGUCGGCAUGCUACCUCUACAUUUACCUACGGGAUUAGUUUUAAACCUCAAUAAUUGUUAUUUAGUGCCAGCUUUGAGCACGAACAUUGUAUCUGGAUCUCGUUUAAUGCGAGAUGGCUACUCAUUUAAAUCCGAGAAUAAUGGUUGUUCUAUUUAUAUGAGAGAUAUGUUUUAUGGUCAUGCCCCACUGGUCAAUGGUUUAUUUUUAUUGAAUCUCGAACGUGAUGUUACACAUAUUCAUAGUGUGAAUACCAAAAGAUGUAAGGUUGAUAAUGAUAGUCCCACAUACUUGUGGCACUGCCGCCUUGGUCACAUUGGUGUCAAACGCAUGAAGAAACUCCAUGCAGAUGGACUUUUGGAGUCACUUGAUUAUGAAUCAUUUGACACGUGCGAACCAUGCCUCAUGGGCAAAAUGACCAAGACUCCGUUCUCCGGAACAAUGGAGCGAGCAACCAACUUGUUGGAAAUAAUACAUACUAAUGUAUGCGGUCCAAUGAGCGUUGAGGCUCGCGGUGGCUAUCGUUAUGUUCUCACCCUCACUGAUGACUUAAGUAGAUAUGGGUAUGUCUACUUAAUGAAACACAACUCUGAGACCUUUGAAAGGUUCAAGGAAUUUCAGAGUGAGGCAGAGAAUCAAUGUGACAGGAAAAUAAAGUUCUUACGAUCAGAUCGUGGAGGAGAAUAUUUGAGUCACGAGUUUGGUACACACUUAAGGAAAUGUGUAAUUGUUUCACAACUGAUGCCGCCUGGAACACCUCAGCGUAAUGGUGUAUCCGAACGUCGUAAUCGCACUCUAUAGGAUAUGGUGCGAUCUAUGAUGUCUCUUACCGAUCUACCGCUAUCAUUUUGGGGUUAUGCUUUAGAGACUGCCCCAUUCACUUUAAAUAGGCCGUCGAAAUCCGUUGAGACGACACCGCAUGAAUUAUGGUUUGGGAAGAAACCUAAGUUGUUGUUUCUAAAAGUUUGGGGAUGCGAUGCUUAUGUCAAGAAACUUCAACCUGAAAAGCUCGAACUCAAGUCGGAAAAAUGUGUCUUCCUAGGAUACCCUAAGGAAACUAUUGGGUAUACCUUCUACCUAAGAUCCGAAGGCAAGAUCUUCGUUGCCAAGAACGGAUCCUUUCUGGAGAAAGAGUUUCUCUCGAAAGAAGUAAGUGGGCGGAAAGUAGAACUUGAUGAGGUACGCCCUCUUGAACCGGAGAGUAGCGCAGCUCAGGAAGAUGUUUCUGUGGUGCCUGCACCGACUAGAGAGGAAGUUAAUGAUGAUUAUCAUGAAACUUCAGAUCAAAGUAUUGAACUUCGUAGGUCCACGAGGACACGUUCUGCACCAGAGUGGUACAACAACCCUGUCCUGGAAAUCAUGUUGUUAGACAACGGUGAACCUUCGAACUAUGAAGAAGCGAUGGUGGGCCUGGAUUCCAACAAAUGGCUUGAGGCCAUGAAAUCCGAGAUAGGAUCCAUGUAUGAAAACGAAGUAUGGACUUUGACAGACUUGCCCGUUGAUCGGCAAGCCAUAGAGAAUAAAUGGAUCUUUAAGAAGAAGACUAACGCGGAUGGUAAUGUGACCAUCUAUAAGGCUCGGCUUGUCGCUAAGGGUUAUCGACAAGUUCAAGGGGUUGACUACGAUGAGACCUUCUCACCCGUAGCGAAGCUGAAGUCCGUCCGAAUCAUGUUAGCAAUUGCCGCAUUCUAUGAUUAUGAGAUAAGGGAAAUGGACGCCAAAACGGCAUUCCCUAAUGGCUUCCUUAAGGAAGAAUUGUAUAUGAUGCAGCCGAAAGGUUUUGUCGAUCCUAAGAAUGCUGACAAGGUAUGCAAGCUCCAGCGCUCCAUCUAUGGGCUGGUGCAAGCAUCUCGAAGUUGGAACAUUUGCUUUGAUGAAAUGAUUAAAGCGUUUGGGUUUAUGCAGACUUAUGGAGAAGCCUGUGUUUACAAGAAAGUGAGUGGGAGCUCUGUAGCAUUCUCAUAUUAUAUGUGGAUGACAUACUAUUGAUGGGAAAUGAUAUAGAACUUUUGGAAAGCAUAAAGGCCUACUUGUUUCAAUGAAGGACCUUGGAGAAGCUUCUUACAUAUUAGGCAUCAAGAUCUAUAGAGAUAGAUCGAGACGCCUCAUUGGUCUUUCACAAAGCACAUACCUUGACAAGAUAUUGAAGAAGUUCAAUAUGGAUCAGUCCAAGAAGGGGUUCUUGCCUGUAUUGCAAGGUGUGAGAUUGAGCACGGCUCAAUGCCCAACCUCGGCAGAACAUAGAAAAAAGAUGAAUGUCAUCCCCUAUGCCUCAGCCAUAGGGUCUAUUAUGUAUGCCAUGCUGUGUACCAGACCUGAUGUGACUUGCCAUAAGUUUGGUAGGGAGGUACCAAAGUAAUCCCGGUAUGGAACACUGGACAACGGUCAAGAAUAUCCUGAAGUACCUGAAAAGGACUAAGAAUAUGUUUCUCAUUUAUGGAGGUGACGAAGAGCUCGUCGUAAAGGGUUACGUCGGUGCUAGCUUCGACACAGAUCUGGAUGACUCCAAGUCACAAACCGGAUACGUGUACAUUUUGAAUGGUGGGGCAGUCAGCUGGUGCAGUUGCAAGCAAAGCGUCGUGGCAGGAUCUACAUGUGAAGCGGAGUACAUAGCAGCCUCAGAGGCAGCACAGGAAGCAGUCUGGAUGAAGGAGUUCGUCACCGACCUAGGAGUUAUUCCCAAUGUGUCGGGCCCGAUGACUCUCUUCUGUGACAACACUGGAGCUAUUGCCCUUGCCAAGGAGCCCAGGUUUCACAAGAAGACUAGGCAUAUCAAGCGUCGCUUCAACUCCAUUCUUGAAUAUAUUCAAGAUGGAGACAUAGAUAUUUGUAAAGUGCAUAUGGAUCUGAAUGUCGCAGACCCGUUGACUAAACCUCUUCCACGAGCAAAACAUGAUCAACACCAAAACUCUAUGGGUGUUCGAUUCAUCACAAUGUAACUAGAUUAUUGACUCUAGUGCAAGUGGGAGACUGUUGGAAAUAUGCCCUAGAGGCAAUAAUAAAGUGGUUAUUAUUAUAUUUCCUUGUUCAUGAUAAUUGUAUGUUGUUCAUGCUAUAAUUGUAUUAACCGGAAACCGUAAUACAUGUGUGAAUACAUAGACCAUAAUAUGUCCCUAGUAAGCCUCUAGUUUACUAGCUCGUUGAUCAAUAGAUGGUUGUGGUUUCCUGACCAUAACAUUAGAUGUUAUUGAUAACGGGAUCACAUCAUUAGGAGAAUGAUGUGAUGGACAAGACCCAAUCCUAAGCAUAGCAUAAGAUCGUGUAGUUCGUUUUGCUCGAGCUUUUCUAAUGUCAAGUAUCGUUUCCUUAGACCAUGAGAUUGUGCAACUCCCGGAUACCGUAGGAAUGCUUUGGGUGUACCAAACGUCACAACGUACUUGGGUGGCUAUAAAGGUGCACUACAGGUAUCCCCGAAAGUGUCUGUUGGGUUGGCACGAAUCGGGACUGGGAUUUGUCACUCCGUAUGACGGAGAGGUAUCUCUGGGCCCACUCGGUAAUGCAUCAUCAUAAUGAGCUCAAUGUGACUAAGAAGUUAGUCACGGGAUCAUGCGUUACGGAACGAGUAAAGAGACUUGCCGGUAACGAGAUUGAACGAGGUAUGGGGAUACCGACGAUCGAAUCUCGGGCAAUUAACAUACCGAUGGACAAAGGGAAUUGUAUACGGGAUUGGUUGAAUCCCUGACAUCAUGGUUCAUCCGAUGAGAUCAUCGUGGAACAUGUGGGAGCCAACAUGGGUAUCCAGAUCCUGUUGUUGGUUAUUGGCUGGUGAGAUGUCUCGGUCAUGUCUGCAUGGUUCCCGAACCCGUAGGGUCUACACACUUAAGGUCCGGUGACGCUAGAGUUGUUUUGGGAAAUUGUAUGUGGUUACCGAAGGUUGUUCGGAGUCCCGGAUGAGAUCCCGGACAUCACGAGGAGUUCCAGAAUGGUCCAGAGGUAAAGAUUUAUAUAUGGGAAGUCCAGUUUCUGUCACCGGAAUAGUUUCGGGGGUUAUCGGUAUUGUACCGAGACCACCGAAAGGUGUCCGGGGGUCCACCGGGUGGGGCCACCUGCCCCGGGGGACUUAAUGGGCUGAACAAGGGUUGGAACAAGCCCCCUAGUGGGGUGGUGCACCCCCCAAGGGCCCAAGGCGCCUAGGGAUGGAAACCCUAGGGGGUGGGGGCGCCUCCCACCAAACUUGGAGGGCAAGUUCCCCCCUUGGCCGUCGCCCCCCGCUUGUAGAUGUGAUCUAAGGGGGCGGCCCCCUCUCCCCUUCCCCUAUAAAUAGUGGGGGGGUGGGAGGGCUGCCAUACCCCUUCCCUGGCGCAACCCUCCCCCUCUCCAACACCUCCUCCUCCGUAGUGCUUGGCGAAGCCCUGUCGGAGAACUACAAGCUCCACCACCACGCCGUCGUGCUGCCGGAGCUCUCCCUCAACUUCUCCUCUCCCCUUGCUGGAUCAAGAAGGAGGAGAUGUCCCCGGGCUGUACGUGUGUUGAACGCGGAGGUGCCGUCCGUUCGGCACUUGGAUUGGAUCUUCCGUGAUUUGAAUCGCCGCGAGUACGACUCCAUAUCAACCGCGUUCUUGUAACGCUUCCGCUUAGCGAUCUUCAAGGGUAUGAAGAUGCACUCCCUCUCUCUCUUUCUCGUUGCUAGCAUCUCCUAGAUUGAUCUUGGUGACACGUAGGAAUAUUUUUGAAUUAUUGCUACGUUCCCCAACAUAACCACCCCUCAAAGUGCGAUGAAGAAUCACUCCAAAGUUCCUAUCUAGCGGAGAACAUAAGAAUAAAUGGUUUGUAGGGUACGAAACCACCUCAAAGCUAUUCUUUCCGUUCGAUCUAUUCAAGAGUUCGUACUAAAAUAACAUAAAGCUAUUAUUUCCAUUCGAUCUAUCCUAGAGUUCGUACUAAAAUAACACCAAAGCAAAUUCAUAUUCAUAAUACUCAAUCCAACACAAAGAACUUCAAAGAGUGCCCCAAGAUUUCUACCGAAGAAACAAAGACAAGAACGUGCAUCAACCCCUAUGCAUAGAUUACCCCAAUGUCACCUCGGGAAUCCGCGAGUUGAGUGCCAAAACAUAUAUCAAGUGAAUCAAUACGAUACACCAUUGUCACCACGAGUAUUCAAUUGCAACACAUAUAUCAAGUGUUCUCAAAUCCAUAAAAGUAUUCAAUCCGAUAACAAGAAAUCUCAAAGGGAAAAACUCAAUUCAUCACAACAAGAUAGAGAGGGGAAAACACCAUAUGAUCUGACUAUAUUAACAAAGCCCGCGAUACAUCAAGAUCGUGACAUCUCAAGAACACGAGAGAGAGAGAGAGAUUAAACACAUAGCUACUCGUACAAACCUCAGCCCCGAGGGUGGACUACUCCCUCCUCAUCGUUGUGGCCGCCGGGAUGAUGAAGAUGGCCACCAGUGAUGAUUCCCCCCUCUGGCAGGGUGCGGGAACAGGGUCUAGAUUGGUUUUCGGUGGCUACAAAGCCUUGCGGCGGCGGAACUUCUGAUCUAGGGUAACCCCGAGGAUUUUCAGAAUUUUUGGGAAUUUAUAGGGUAAAGAGGGGGUGCGGGAGGCUACCGAGGUGGGCACAACCCAACUGGGCGCGCCAGGGGGCCCAGGCGCGCCCUGGUGGGUUGUGCCCCCCUCGGGGCACCCCCCAGGUGCUGCUCUGGCCCAAGUGUUCUGGUCCAUAAAAAAUCCUCAAAAAGUUUCGCGGUGUUUGGACUCCGUUUGAUAUUUAUUUCCUGCGAUGUAAAAAACAUGCAAAACACAGCAACUGGCACUUGGCAUUAUGUCAAUAGUUUAGUACCAAAAAAAUGAUAUAAUGACUAUAAAAUUAUUAUAAAACAUCCAAGAAUGAUAAUAUAAUAGCAUGGAACAAUCAAAAAUUAUAGAUACGUUGGAGACGUAUCAAUCUUUCAAUCAUAUUGUUUGCUCUGAUGCAUAUGGCCAAGAUACAUGUAACUCAAUACCUACUCUGUCAUGCAAUGCAUUCACAUGUUCUUCUAUCUUAUCUUUGCAUGAUUGCAUACAUGUAGGGGGAGCUUAUGGAUGUUACAUGUUUCUCCAAAGCUUUGCUUACUAUUCUUCAUAUCAUUUACUUAAAGCUUUGAUGUAUGUUGUCAUCAAUUACUAAGGGGGGGUGAAAGCACAAGUGCUCCCUGGGUGAUUUUGGUAAUUAAUGUAAACAUAUUUCUUGUUGGACUAAUAGUUUUAUCCAGUGUAUUUCACACAAGUUCAACAAUGGCGUGGCAAAGACAAGAGGAUGUGGAACCCCUUCAAAAUGCUCAGGAUAAAUAUUGGCAAAAUCUCAAGACUCUUCAUCUUUAUUUUAGUGAUCCAAGAUCACAUUGAGUCCGUAGGAAAGCCAAUACUAUUAAAAGGGGAUGCGGUGUUGCUUAAUGGUCUACUUGCUCAAAUGCUUAGUGAUAUUGCUCCAAAACCCUCAACCACUUUCUUCAUCCAAAUAUGUCCAAAACCAAAACUUCAACUCGGCCCCACCGAUUCUUUCUAUCCGGAGCCACCGAGUUCACAUGACAUAGCCACUGCCAGAAACCCUAACAGUUUGGUCUCACCGAUAUGGAUCUCGAUCUCACCGAGAUGGCCUUGCCAGCACUCUGUGACUUGUUGCAUUCAUUUAAGUCUUACCGAGUUGGCUUGACACAUUCUCUAUUGCUUAUUGCUUCACUUCGGUCCCACCAAGUUGAUGCAAUCGGCGCCACCGAGAUGACGUUUGCCCUAAGCCCUAGCACAUCGGUCCCACCGAGUUGUUCCAGUUGGUCCCACCGAGAUUUCUAACGUUCACAUUUUUGAACUGAUCGGUGCCAUCGAGUUUAACCAUUCAAUCUCACCGAGAUGAGUCAAAUGUGUGUAACGGUUGGAUUUUUUUGUGGAGGCUAUAUAUACCCCUCCACCCCUUCUCCAUUUGUGAGAGAGCCAUCAGAACGUGCCUACACUUCCACCAUACAUUUUCUAAAAGCGAACCACCUACUCAUGUGUUGAGAUCAAGAAAUUCCAUUCCUACCAUUUCAACCUUGAUUUCUAGCCUUCCCCAAGUUGCUUUCCACUCAAAUCACUCUUCCACCAUAGCCAAAUCUGAGAGAGAGUUGAGUGUUGGGGAGACUAUCAUUUGAAGCACAAGAGCAAGGAGUUCAUCCUCAAAACACCAUCUAUUAGCUUUUGGAGAGUGGUGUCUCCUAGAUUGGUUAGAUGUUGCUUGGGAGCCUCCGUCGUGAUGUGGAGUUGAACUAAGAAGUUUGUAAAGGCAAGGAGAUCGCCUACUUCGUGAAGAUCUACCCGAGUGAGGCAAGUCCUUCAUGGGGGAUGGCCAUGGUGGGAGAUUGUUGUAAUAGCACGCACAAUCACCAUUUUCUACACGCACCUGUGCAAGCAAAUAGUAGUACAAGAGUAAAAAAAGAUAUUUCACGUUGUUAGUGUUGGAUCACACAUUCAGUCAUUCAGAUGCAAAGUCUAGCUCCUACUGUAGUUGGUUGAUUAUUAAGGUGGAAAGCGAGGAUCAUGUUGAAAAUUUCUAUCUUGGAUCGAUCGUACUAGUUGUUUGUCCGGUCGUAAGAGACUAAGAGGCGCAGUAGCAACUAGCAAUCCAUCUAGACUGAGCAAACUAUUGCCGGUGAAGCUCGUCGGAGCACCUCUUUAUCUCUCAACUCAAUCACUCUCUGAAGAAAAAACCGAGACAUGGGAGGUUUUGUGUAGCCAAGUUCUGCUGCUUUUCUGUUCUUCUCUUCUUUUUAUUCAGUGAUCCUAAAACGUGUCACAAUGCUCGCAAUAAAAUCCAUCGUGCAUGUGCCCUCACACAGACAAAGUCGUGCAGUAGGCCUACUACCUAUUCAUGCGGAGCACACAACAAAACAUUUCCUUAUGUAGCUAACACAAUCUUAAACUGAAACUAUUGAAGAAAAAGAACCUAAUGAUUUUGGCUGCGAUGGCAGCGUUAUUUACGUAACUGAAUUAUCCCAACAAUCUCCCCCUGAUUUAGGUGCGCCGUGAUAUGAUAGGCUCUAUCACACAUAAGCCUCCAUAUAUCUUCCUCAAAACAACCACCAUACCUACCUAUUAUGGCAUUUCCAUAGUGUAGGAUCGAAAGUAUGUCUAGAGGGGGGGUGAUUAGACUACUUGACCAAAUAAAAAUCUAGCCUUUUCCCAAUUUUAGUUCUUGGCAGAUUUUAACAACUUAGCACAAGUCAAGCAAUCAACCUACACAUGCAAUUCUAAGAGUAUAGCAGCGGAAUGUAAAACAAUUGCAUAUGAAGGUAAAGGGAUGAGUUUGAGGGAGCAAACGCAAUGUUGACACGGAGAUUUUUUAUCCGUGGUUCCGAUAGGUGGUGCUAUCGUACAUCCACGUUGAUGGAGACUUCAACCCACGAAGGGUAAUGGUCGUGCGAGUCCACGGAGGGCUCCACCCACGAAGGGUCCACGAAGAAGCAACCUUGUCUAUCCCACCAUGACUGUCGCCCACGAAGGACUUGCCUCACUAGGGUAGAUCUUCACGAAGUAGGCGAUCUCCUUGCCCUUACAAACUCCUUGGUUCAACUCCACAAUCUUGUCGGAGGCUCCCAAGUGACACCUAGCCAAUCUAGGAGACACCACUCUCUAAGAAGUAGCAAAUGGUGUGUUGAUGAUGAACUCCUUGCUCUUGUGCUUCAAAUGAUAGUCCCCCAACACUCAGCUCUCUCUCAUAGGACUGGAUUUGGUAGAAAGAAGAUUUGAGUGGAAAGCAACUUGGGGAAGGCUAGAGAUCAAGAUUCAUGUGGUUGGAAUGGAAUAUCUUGACCUCAACACAAGUGUAGGUGGUUCUCUCUCAGAAAAUACGUAUUGGAAGUGUAGGCAUGUUCUGAUGGCUCUCUUUUCGAAUGAAGAGUGGGUGGAGGGGUAUAUAUAGCCUCCAGACAAAAUCUAACCGUUACACACAAAUCACCAAACUCGGUGGGACCGAUUCAGAGAACUCGGUCAGACCGAUUUGGUUCAUAAUGUGACCGUUAGGUGUUUCGGUGGGACCGACAUGUCAACUCGGUCGGACCAAUAUCAUUAGGGUUAGGGCAUAACGUAAUCUCGGUGAGACCGAUUACACAAACUUGGUGGGACCGAUUUUGGUAAUAGUAAAACAGAGAGUUGGUCAGGCGAACUCGGUGGGACCGAUUCGCUCAUCUCGGUUGGACCGAAACGUUACGAAAAGGAAACAGAGUGUUUGCAUUGCAAUCUCGGUGGGACCGAUCGCUCAUCUCGGUUUGACCGAAACGUUACGAAGGGAAACAGAGAGAUUACAAUCCCAUCUCAGUGAGACCGAGAUCCCUAUCGGUGAGACCGAAAAGACUAGGGUUUCUGGCAGUGGCUAUGUCAAAUGAACUCGGUGGCGCUGGAUAGAAAGAAUCGGCGGGGCCGAGUUGGACUUGUGGUUUGGGACAUAUGUGGAUACGAGAAAGUAGUGGAGGGUUUUGGAGCAUAUCACUAAGCCUUUUGAGCAAGCACCUCAUUAAGCAACACCUCAUCCCUUCUUAAUAGUAUUGGCUUUUCCUAUAGACUCAAUGUGAUCUUGGAUCACUAAAAUAGAAAAUGUAGAGUCUUGUGCUUUGAGUUUGAGCCAAUCUUUUGUCCUUAGCAUUUUGAAGGGUCCACUUUCUAAUCCAUGCCAUGCCAAUCAUUGAGCUUUCCUGAAAUAUUUAUCUUGAAAUAGCAUUAGCUCAAUGAGCUAUAUGUUGUUAGGAAUUACCAAAACCACCCAGGGAUAGUUGCACUUUCACAUAGCCAUUCCGAGAUACGUUGCCAUGCAACUUCCACCAUCAUAAUAUACAUGACUUGAGCAUUCAUUGUCAUAUUUGCUUUGCAUGAUCGUAACACAGCUAGCAUGGUAUUUUAAUGGCUUGUCUGUUUUUUUAUAUCUUUGCUAUGCUAGAUCAUUGCACAUCCUAGUACACUGCCAGAGGCAUUCAUAUAGAGUCAUCAUGUAUUAGUUGUAUCGAGUUGUAAGUAAAUAAAAGUGUGAUGAUCAUCAUUAUUAGAGCAUUGCCCCAGUGAGGAAAGGAUGAUGGAGACUGUGAUUCCCCCACAAGUCGGGAUGAGGCUCCGGACGAAUAAUAAUAUAAAAUAAAAAAGAGGCCAAGAGACCAACAAAAAAGAGGAAAAAGAAGAAGAAAAAAGAAACAAAAAAAGAGAGAGAAAGAGAGAAGGGGCAACGUUACUAUAAUUUUCCACACAUGUGCUUCAGAGUAGCACCAUGUUUUCACAUAGGGAGUCUCCUAUGUUGUCACUUUCAUAUACUAGUGGGAAUUUUUCAUUAUAGAACUUGGCUCGUAUAUUCCGAUGAUGGGCUUCCUCAAAUGCCCGAGGUCUUCAUGAGCAAGCAAGUUGGAUGCAUACACACUUAGUUUUCAGUUUGAGCUUCCAUACACUUAUAGCUCUCAGUGCAUCCGUUGCAUGGCAAUCCCUACUCCUCGCAUUGACAUCAAUUGAUGGGCAUCUCCAUACCCCGUUGAUUAGCCGCGUCGAUGUGAGACUUUUUUUGUCUUCUCCACACAACCUCCAACAUCAUAUUCUAUUCCACCCAUAGUGCUAUAUCCAUGGCUUGCGCUCAUGUAUUGCGUGGGGGUUGAAAAAGCUGAAGCGCAUUAAAAAGUAUGAACCAAUUGCUCGGCUUGUCAUCGGGGUUGUGCAUGACAAAUACUUUGUGUUAAGAAGAUGGAGCAUGACAAGACUAUAUGAUUUUGUAGGGAUAACGUUCUUUAGCAUUGAUAUUUUGAAAGACAUGAUUGUUUGUUGGGAUGCCUGAGUAUUGAUGUCUUUAUGUCAAAUUAUAGACUAUUGAUUUGAAUCACUCGUGUCUUAAUAUUCAUGCCAUGACUAGAUUAUAUGAUCAAGAUUAUACUAGGUAGCAUGCCACAUCAAAAAUUAUCUUUUUUUAUCAUUUACCUACUCGAGGACGAGCAGGAAUUAAGCUUGGGGAUGCUGAUACGUCUCCGCCGUAUCUAUAAUUUUUGAUUGUUUCAUGCCAAUAUUCUACAACUUUUACAUACUUUUGGCAACAUUUUAUAUCAUUUUUUGGGACUAACAUAUUGAUUCAGUGCCCAGUGCCAGUUCCUGUUUGUUGUAUGUUUUUUGUUUCGCAGAAUAUCCAUAUCAAACGAAGUCCAAAAGCGAUAAAAAUUUACGGAGAUUUAUUUUGCAAUAUUUGUGAUUUUUGGGGAAAAUAAUCAACACGAGACGAUGCCCAAGGGGCCCACAAGCUUGAGAGGCACACCCCCUACCCUGGGCGCGACUAGCAAGCUUGUGGGGCCCAUGUAAGGUGGUUGUUGCCCUUCUUUCGCCGCAAGAAAGAUAAUAUCCGGAAGAAAAUCGUAUUAAACUUUCAGCCCAAUCGGAGUUACGGAUCUUGGGGAAUUUAAGAAACGGUCAAAGGCCAGAAAACAGGAACGUGAAAGAGAAGAGAAACAGAGAGAUAGAUCCAAUCUCGGAGGGGCUCCCACCCCUCCGCCGUCGUGGAGGCCAAGGACCAGAGGGGAAACCCUCCUCCCAUCUAGGGGGAGGUCAAGGAAGAAGAAGAAGGGGGGCUCUCUCCCCCUCUCUCCCGGUGGCGCCAAAGUGCCGCCGGGGCAAGGAUCUCGGUGAUCUACACCAACAACCUCGCUACCGUCAACACCAACACUUUCCCCCUCUAUGCAGCGGUGUAACAUGAUGACUCACAAGUAUAGGGGAUCAAUCGUAAUCCUUUCGAUAAGUAAGAGUGUCGAACCCAAUGAGGAGCAGAAGGAAAUGACAAGUGGUUUUCAGCAAGGUAUUCUCUGCAAGCACUGAGAUUAUAAGUGACGAGUAGUUUGAUAGCUAGAUAAUUUGUAACGAGCAAGUAAUGGUAACGGUAAAUAAAGUGCAGCAAGGUAGCCCAAUCCUUUUAUGGCAAAGGACAUGCCAAGACGGUCUCUUAUAAUAAGCAAAGCGUUCUUGACGGUACACGGGAACUUCAUCUAGUCACUUUCAUCAUGUUGGUUUGAUUUGUGUUCGCUACUUUGAUAAUUUGAUAUAUGUGUGGAACGGUGCUUAGGUGCUGUUCUUAAUUGAACAAACCUCCUACUUAUGAUUAACCCCCUCACAAGCAUCCGCAACUACGAGAAAAGUAUUAAGAUAAAAUCUAACCAUAGCAUUAAACUUUUGGAUCCAAAUCAGUCCCUUACGAAGUAGCGCAUAAACUAGGGUUUAAGCUUCUGUCACUCUAGCAACCCAUCAUCUAAUAACUACUACACAAUGCAUUCACUUAGGCCCUAAUAAGGUGAAGUGCCAUGUAGUCGACGUUCACAUGACACCACUAAGGGAAUCACAACAUACAUAUCAUCAAAAUAUCGAACACAUAUCAAGUUCACAUGAUUACUUGCAACAAGAUUUCUCCCAUGACCUCAAGAACAAAAGUAACUACUCACAAAUGAUAAUCUGCUCAAUAUCAGAGGGGUAUUAAAUAGCAUAAUGGAUCUGAACAUAUAAUCUUCCACCAAAUAAACCAUAUAGUAAUCAACUACAAGAUGUAAUCAACACUACUAGUCACCCACAAGUACCAAUCUAAGGUUACGGUACAAAGAUUGAACACAAGAGAUGAACUAGGGUUUGAGAGGAGAUGGUGUUGUUGAAGAUGUUGAUGGAGAUGGAGAUUGGCCUCCCAAAGAUGAGAGGGUUGUUGGCGAUGACAAUGGCUUCAAUUUCCCCCUCCGGCAGGGAAGUCCCCCGGAGGAAUCGCUCCGCUGGAGGGAAAAAGUGCUCCUGCCCAAGUUCCGCCUCAAGACGGCGGUGCUUCGUCCCGAAAGUCCUCUCCUUAUUUUUUUCUAGGUCAAAAUGACUUAUAUGCCAGAAGAUGGGCACCGGAGGUGGGCCGAGGAGGGCACAACCCACCAGGGCACGCUUGGGGGGCCUGGCGCACCCAGGUGGGAUUGUGCCCACAUGGUGGGGCCCCUCUGGUAGUUAUUUGCUCUAAUAAUUCUUAAAUAUUCCAUAAAAAAUCUCUGUGAAGUUUCAGCUCAUUUGGAGAUGUGCAGAAUAGGUGACUCUGACGUAGCUUUUUUAGGUCCAGAAUUCCAGCUGCUCGCAUUCUCCCUCUUUGUGUGAACUUUGCAUAUUAUGAGAAAAAAAGGCAUUAGAAUUACUCCAUAAAGCAUUACUAUGCAUAAAAACAUUAUAAAAUAAUAGUAGGAAAACAUGAUGCAAAAUGGACGUAUCAUAACACCUCUUCUCCCCACUAUAAUAUCUACUUAAACAUGGUGCUCAACGCUAUAUAUUAUUAUCCAAUGAUAUGUGGCUAUCCUAUGAUGUUUGAGUAGAUCCCUUUUGUCCUAUGGGUUAAUUGAUUAUCAUGAUUAGUUUGAGUUGUAUGUUUUAUUAUUGGUGUUGUCCUAUGGUACUCUCCGUGUCGCGCAAGCGUGAGAGAUCCCCGUUGUAGGGUGUUUCAAUAUGUUCGUGAUUCGCUUAUGGUGGGUGGCAUGAGUGACAGGAGCAUAAACCUAAGUAAGUGGGUUGUUGCGUAUGGGAGUAAAUAGGACUUGAUACUUAAUGCUAUGGUUGGGUUUUACCUUAAUGAUCUUUGGUAGUUGAGGAUGCUUGUUAGAGUUCCAAUCAUAAGUGCAUAUGAUCCAAGUAGAGAAAGUAUGUUAGCUCAUGCCUCUCCCUCAUAUAAAAUUGCAAUAAUGAUUACCGGUCUAGUCGAUUACCUAGGGACAAAUAACUUUCCUAUGACAAAAAGCUCUCUACUAGAACUAACUUAAUUGUUUCUUUAUCUAAACAACCCCUAGAUUUUAUCUACAUGUUCUUUAUUAUCUUGCAAACCUAUCCAUUUACACCUACAAAGUACUUCUAGUUUCAUACUUGUUCUAGGUAAAGCAAACGUAAAGUGUGUGUAGAGUUGUAUCGGUGCUCGAUAGAACUUGAGGGAAUAUUUCUUCUACCUUUAGCUCCUCGUUGGGUUCGACACUCUUACUUAUCGAGAAAGGCUACAAUUGAUCCCCUAUACUUGGCUGAUCUAGCUCUCUUACCUGGAUCAGCCGACUCGUCCUCCUCCAAUAGCCACAACAGUAUGUCCACUGACAUGGCACCUUUGGCUGGUUUAGGCAUCAGGCUAUUCAUCUCUAUAUUCGCCGCCUUCGAUAGCACAAUCUCCUGCCUCUUUAUGCUUCAUGUCCAUGUUCUUGAGCCGAGAGCACAACUCCAUAGACUUCAAGAACUUCACGUGUUCACAAAGCGAGCACCCAAGGAUGAAUGUCUCCAUCGAGGGCAGGUGGGAUGGGGUUCAUGGCGAGUGGAGUGGUGGUGAGACAGAGAGAGUUGUGGAAGAGGAGACGGUAGAAGAGAGAGAUAGGUGAAGUGGUAGAUAAAUGGGGGCUUUGGAGGUUCAAGCAGUAGGUGGGUGGGAUGAAUGAAUGCUGAAGUUUGGCCAACAGCUUUCGUAGGUGUGGUCAAACAAUUCAUUAGUCAUGGGAUGAUUGAAUAUUGAAGAUGAAGUGUAGUAGAUUUUUUGCAUACCUCCAUUGAUCUUGUUCAUAUGUGUAUCACAUUUUGUCCCUCCAUUGACUUCAUGUUCAUACGUUCGAUGCGGAUCAACAAUGUUGCUUUGGGGAACUCCUCCAAGGGCAAGGAGGUUGUGUCAGACAAGAAGGGCAAGGCAGUGGUGGGGCUCAACAACGGCCUAAGAACUAUGACCAUUUCCAUGAGGAAGUCGGCUAAAGCCACUUAUACAAGGUCAUCCUUGCACCCAAAUUGGAGUGUCUGGCAAUGCCCCUUGAUUUCACCAAGCACUUGACCACUGUCCCACAUGAAUUAAUGAUGGGAACGAACACCGGCUGAGUGGAGGGCCACGGUCCAUACGAUGAACAACAGGCUCACCCUUGAUAAAGCCCCCCAUUCACUGUUGCUCACAAAUCAAGUUCGCGUACCUCGUCACCUUCAAGCUGGUGACUCCCGACAUCUUGAAGGUGACUUCAACAAUGAUGGUGUUGAGGUGGUGACAAAGUGCAAGAGGCACGAGGAUGCAUCUGUAACGACUCUUUAGGGUGUUAUCUUUGCACCAAUUUAAGACUUUCUGUAGGAUCGAAAGUAUGUCUAGAGGGGAGGGUGAUUAGACUACUUGAACAAAUAAAACCUAACCUUUUUCCCAAUUUUAGUUGUAGGCAAAUUUGAGCAAUUAUGACAAGUUAAGCAACACCCUACACAUGCAAUUCUAAGAGUAUAGCAGCGGAAAGUAAGACAUUGCACAUGUAAGUAAAUGAAGGGUUUGGAGAAGGCAAACGCAAUGGGGACACGAAUAUUUUUGGCGUGGUUCUGAUAGGUGGUGCUAUCGUACGUCCACGUUGGAGACUUCAACCCACGAAGGGUAACGACUGCGCGAGUCCACAGAGGGCUUCAGCCAGAAAGGGCCCACGAAGAAGCAACCUUGUCUAUCCCACCAUGGCCAUCGUCCACGAAGGACUUUCCUCACUCGGGUAGAUCUUCACGAAGUAGGCGAUCUUCUUGCCCUUACAAACUUCUUGGUUCAACUCCACAUCAUAUCAGAUGCUCCCAAGCGACACCUAACCAAUCUAGAAGGUGUGAUGAUGAUGAACUCCUUGCUCUUGUGCUUAAAAUGAUAGUCUCUCCAACACUCAACUCUCUCUCACAUAUUUGGCUAUGGUGGAAGAAGGAUUUGAGUGGAAAGUAACUUGGGGAAGGCUAGAAAUCAAGGUUCAAGUGGUAGGAAUGGAAUCUCUUGAUCUCAACACAUGAGUAGGUGGUUCUCUCUCAGAAAAAUGAGUAGUGGAAGUGUAGGCACGUUCUGAUGGCUCUCUUACUGAGUAAGAGGGGAUGGAGGGGGUAUAUGUAGCCUCCACACGAAAUCCAACCGUUACACACAUUUGACUCAACUCGGUGGCACCGAUCAGAAAUCUCGGUGGCACCGACUUUUGUAAAAUAUCUGAACGUUGGAGGUCUCGCUGGGACCUACUGGGAACUGUUGGGGAACGUAGUAAUUUCAAAAAAUUUCCUACGCACACGCAAGAUCAUGGUGAUGCAUAGCAACGAGAGGGGAGAGUGUUGUCCACGUACCCUCGUAGACCGAUAGCGGAAGCGUUAUCACAACGCGGUUGAUGUAGUCGUACGUCUUCACGAUCCGACCGAUCAAGUACCGAACGCACGGCACCUCCGAGUUCUACACACGUUCAGCUCGAUGACGUCCCUCGAACUCCGAUCCAGCCGAGUGUUGAGGGAGAGUUUCGUCAGCACGACGGCGUGGUGACGAUGAUGAUGUUCCACCGACGCAGGGCUUCGCCUAAGCUCCGCAACGGUAUUAUCGAGGUGUAAUUUGGUGGAGGGGGCACCGCACACGGCUAAGAGAUCUCAAGGAUCAAUUGUUGUGUCUAUGGGGUGCCCCCCUGCCCCCGUAUAUAAAGGAGCAAGGAGGAGGCAGCCGGCCAAGGGAAGAGGCGCGCCAAAGGGGGGAGUCCUACUCCCACCGGGAGUAGGACUCCUCCUUUCCUUGUGGGAGUAGAAGAAGGGAAGGUGGAAGGAGAAAGAAGGAAGGGGGCGCCCCCCCUCCCUAGUCCAAUUCGGACUAGCCCAUGGGGAGGGGUGCGGCCACCCUUUGGGGUCUUUCUCUCCUUUCCCGUAUGGCCCAUUAAGGCCCAAUACGAAUUCCCGUAACUCUCCGGUACUCCGAAAAAUACCCGAAUCACUCGGAACCUUUCCGAAGUCCGAAUAUAGUCGUCGAAUAUAUCGAUCUUUACGUCUCGACCAUUUCGAGACUCCUCGUCAUGUCCCCGAUCUCAUCCGGGACUCCGAACUCCUUCGGUACAUCAACAUACAUAAACUCAUAAUAAAACUGUCAUCGUAACUUUAAGCGUGCGGACCCUUCGGGUUCGAGAACUAUGUAGACAUGACCGAGACACCUCUCCGGUCAAUAACCAAUAGCGGGACCUGGAUGCCCAUAUUGGCUCCCACAUAUUCUACGAAGAUCUUUAUCGGUCAGACCGCAUAACAACAUACGUUGUUCCCUUUGUCAUCGGUAUGUUACUUGCCAGAGAUUCGAUCGUCGGUAUCUCGAUACCUAGUUCAAUCUCGUUACCGGCAAGUCUCUUUACUCGUUCCGUAAUACAUCAUCCCGUAACUAACUCAUUAGUCACAAUGCUUGCAAGGCUUAUAGUGAUGUGCAUUACCGAGUGGGCCCAGAGAUACCUCUCCGACAAUCGGAGUGACAAAUCCUAAUCUCGAAAUACGCCAACCCAACAAGUACCUUUGGAGACACCUGUAGAGCACCUUUAUAAUCACCCAGUUACGUUGUGACGUUUGGUAGCACACAAAGUGUUCCUCCGGUAAACGGGAGUUGCAUAAUCUCAUAGUCAUAGGAACAUGUAUAAGUCAUGAAGAAAGCAAUAGCAACAUACUAAACGAUCGGGUGCUAAGCUAACGUAAUGGGUCAUGUCAAUCACGUCAUUCUCCUAAUGAGGUGAUCCCGUUAAUCAAAUGACAACUCAUGUCUAUGGCUAGGAAACAUAACCAUCUUUGAUUAACGAGCUAGUCAAGUAGAGGCAUACUAGUGACACUCUGUUUGUCUAUGUAUUCACACAUGUAUUAUGUUUCCGGUUAAUACAAUUCUAGCAUGAAUAAUAAACAUUUAUCAUGAUAUAAGGAAAUAUAUAAUACUUUAUUAUUGCCUCUAGGGCAUAUUUCCUUCAGGAACAUCUCGGAUGGACCGAGGUGCAAUGGCAAAGGCAAAGCUUAUUUCGGUGGCACCGAUUGCAUCAACUCGGUAGGACCGAAGUGAAGCAAUAAGGCAACAGAAAGUUGGCAAGCCGUCUCGGUAGCACCGAUUGCAAAACUCGGUAAGACCAAAUUAAUUGCAAUAGGGUAUGGAAGGUUUGGCAAGCCACCUCGGUGGCACGGAUUGCAAAACUCAGUACGACCGAAAUAUUUGCAACAAGUUACAGAGAGUUGGCAAGCCAUCCUAGUGGGACCGAAAACCAUAUCGGUGACUCCUAUUUGUUAGGGUUUGGCUGUGGCAGUGUCCAGAUGAACUCGGUGGGUCCGGAUGGGUAUGUUUUGGUGGGACCGAGUUGGAAUGUAGGGUUUGGACAUAUUUGGAUAGAGAAAGUGGCCGAGGGUUUUGGAGCAAUAUCACUAAGAACUUUAGCAAACAGAUCAUUAUCAAAACCUCAUCCCCUUUUAAUAGUAUUGGCUUUCUAUGGACUCAAUGUGAUCUUGGAUCACUUAACCAAAAAUGUAGAGUCUUGAGCUUUUGCCAAUCCAUGUCCUUAGCAUUUUGAGGGGUCCACAAUCACUUAGUCCUUGCCAUGCCAAUCAUUGAACUUCCUGAAAUCUUUAACUUGAAUGAAUAUUAGUUCAAUGAGAUAUAUGUUGUUAUGAAUUACCAAAACCACCCGGGGAUUAGUUGCACUUUCACUUUCACGUUGGAUGUUUAGUUUAAGACUUGCCGCAACUGUUUGUCAGUUUAACUGACGAUGAGUAAGACUCUGGUUUAUGCUUUGCUUGUUAUUAGUUGGCUAUGUUAUGUCAUGCGUGCUAGUAACCUUACCACUCCGACAAGAGGUAAUCAAACCACAUGUCUUAAUUGUAACCAACCAACAACGGUUUGCAUUUGCCUAGAACAGGUCUGCAACAAAACACUAUACAUGUGUUUUUGCUCAACCAGUCUGGAGGGGAUGCACACAAACUAAGUAUAUGCAGAACACAUUAUUUUUCCCUGUUUUCACUCAGCCUGGUUCAGUUGAGCCACACCUGCAAAUAGCCCAAAAAAUGAUGCAACCUACCAAACGCAUCAUUAAGCUAUAUGUUGUUUUCUCAACUAUUUCUAUUUUUUUGUUGUUGUUCCACUCAAGAUCGGACUAGGCGUUCUUACUACUUCUGACUGAUAAGGGGAGUUGCUACCUUCUAAAUUUUAUUUUUAUCAAACACUAAUUCUAUUGUUAAAAUUUCAAAAUAUUGUUAUCGGGUUGGACAAUCACCAUGGCUUCAUCCUAGAAGUCAAGCACAUUGACUAGUUGUCAUACAUGGUCAUGGUGCCAAAGAAGAACACGAUGUGGCAUCUUUGCAUCAAUUUCAAGGACAUCAACAAGGUGUGUCUGACGAACCUGUUUUCUUUGCCACCCAUUGACCAGAUCGACGCAACGGCCGACCAUGACCUCAUCUUUCUGGAUUAAAAUGAAGGGGUCCCACCGGGAGGCCACCUCAUUUAUCACACCAUACAGGCCCUUAUGUUUCAUCACAAUGCCUUUCGGGUUAAAGUGUGCAGGGCCACCUAUCAGUUGAUGAUCUAGAUGUUGCAGCUGCAGAUCGGAACAACCGUAGAGGCGUAUGUUGAUGAUGUGGUCGUCAAGACCAAGACAACCGACAGUCCGACACCCUCAUUAACAACUUGCGUGAGACCUUCAAAAAUCUCCGUGCAUUUCAACAUAAAGCUUAAUCCAACGAAGUACGUCUCCGGCGUGCCAUCCAGUAACCUGUUGAGAUUCUUCAUCUCCUAGUGCAGGAUUGAAGCAAAUCCCGACAAGAUCAAGGUGCUGACAAAGCUCAAGAAGCUGGAGAAGCUCAAGGACGUCCGUCGACUGGACAGAUGCGUGGCUUCCCUAAGCCAGUUCAUCAGCCGGCUAGGUGAGAAGGCACUUCCCCUGUGCUGGCUCCUGAAGAAGACAACUGAUUUCGAGUGGACCACCGAGGCCGACAACGCCAUGGAAGAAAUCAAAACGCUCCNNNNNNNNNNNNNNNNNNNNNNNNNNNNNNNNNNNNNNNNNNNNNNNNNNNNNNNNNNNNNNNNNNNNNNNNNNNNNNNNNNNNNNNNNNNNNNNNNNNNNNNNNNNNNNNNNNNNNNNNNNNNNNNNNNNNNNNNNNNNNNNNNNNNNNNNNNNNNNNNNNAAUCUCGAUGAGCUGCGUCGCGGUCACUGUGAAUCCAGUCGCAGCCGCCUCCCUCGCCGUAGCCGCUCUGCAACAUACCAACUAUUGCUUUUGAAAGGUUUGCAACAAGGGUGGUGUUGCAAAGCUGACCUUCGAUUAGAUUCUGAUCAGGCGGUCUUCGAGGUGGUUGACAUGGACAAUGUCAGAAGUCGCUGAGCGGAAGCUUCUGAAAUCUGAAAAAAAAUACCUCAUCACCAGGGUUUUUAAAAUUUUCCGUUUAACUUUCAAUCUGAUAGCCACGCCGGUGGAAAACGAGCAUAACGUGGCAACGACCACGCCGCAUAUCUCCCCAGAAAAUAGCGAAGCAAACGGGCUGCACGACGGAGCCCAACAACGACCACGCGGUUUUGCUUUGGGCUCAAGAAAGAAAAGUUUGGGCAAAACUGGCGACGCGACCCAAGAAGAGUACCCACCCGGGACGCCAUUGACGCCUCCGAGCCAGAGGAGGCGAGGAACACAUGCUCCCUUUCCUCCCCGCUGAAGAGUAGCUGCAGUUGUUGCCAAGACGGCCACGGAAGCGGAAGCGCAGGCCAGCGCACCCCCAGCCGGACCAUUCUCGCCGAGCCCUCGCCCUCCCCCGGCCGCGGCGGCGGCGCCCCUCCUCCGCGCCCUCGCCUCCGGGGAUCGCGGGAUUGGGCGGCGAUGGACACCUCUACUAGGGCGGCCAAGAUCCCCUCCCUCCCCCAACAGACGGAGAUCAACUGGGACAAGUAAGCGCCCGCCUCUUCUUUUUUCUCCGCCGUUCCCCCGCAAUUCACCCCGUCUCGUGCGCUCCCGGGUACCUAGUUGUCAAUCUCCGCGCCUCCCCCCGUCCGCAAUUCGGAACUGGCAUUAGAAAUUUCGAUUUAGGAACUUGCCGUGGCUGCUAUUGUUCCCGGAUGGAGCGCGAUUGGGGAAGCUGUGGUGAAUUAGGGCUUCUAGGUAGCUCUCUGCUUGGUAUAUUGUUCUGAAACUGCGGUGUGUACAUGUUGCAGCCUCGACAUGACCAAGCUCUAUGUGGUGGGGGCCGGCAUGUUCAGCUGCGUGACCGUGGCGCUCUACCCGGUGUCCGUGAUCAAGACCCGGAUGCAGGUUGCCUCCGGGGAGGCCUUGAGGAGGAACGCCCUGGCCACCUUCAAGAACAUCCUCAAGGUGGAUGGGGUGCCUGGGCUCUACCGAGGGUUUGGGACCGUCAUCACCGGGGCUAUCCCGGCUAGGAUUAUCUUCCUCACGGCGCUCGAGAAGACAAAGGCGACUUCGCUCAAGCUUGUUGAGCCACUUCAGCUGUCAGAGUCGAUGGAGGCUGCCCUUGCUAAUGGCCUCGGUGGUUUGACGGCGUCUCUGUGCUCGCAGGCUGUCUUUGUGCCCAUUGAUGUGGUAUGCUUACCAUUAGCCAUUUCCAGUUUCCAUGUUGCUGCAAAGAGUUGUGCUAUGUUUGUCAGAUUAGGUAAAUCCAUUUAUCAUGUUUGUAUUGGCCUGUAUCUCAGGUUAGCCAGAAAUUGAUGGUUCAAGGAUAUUCUGGUCAUGUCAGAUAUAAGGGUGGAAUAGAUGUUGUUCAAAAGAUUAUGAAGUCUGAUGGGCCACGGGGAUUGUACAGAGGAUUUGGCCUGUCUGUUAUGACGUAUGCACCGUCUAGCGCUGUUUGGUGGGCAAGCUAUGGGUUCAGCCAGCGUAUGAUUUGGAGGUUAGUAGUGAUGGUCUAAUUGGGUUAUCGCUAUGUUUCUCUUUCUUAGCCUCUAUGUUGUUUAAAUUCAUGGAUUUCUUAAGUUGAACAAAGAAGAAAAGGCUAACUGUAUGUAUGUAUAUUUUGGCAAUUUCGAUCUCUGAAAUUAUGCAACCUUUUUAAAACCGCUCCUUUGAUGGUGACAGACUCUUUCAAUCACAUAUCCAUCUUUUGCUUUCCUGUUGUCAUGUCUACCAUGGUCCAAUAAUCCCAAAGUACGGUUUUAUAUACAUUGAUCUAUUUGUUUUGGAAAACUAUGAUCUUACUUUGGUGUGCUCUGGUUGAUUUGCUUUGGUAAUCUUUUCAUAUUUGCGCUGUCUUCCUAUAGGUAGAAACAGUAACCAUGAUCAAGUGGUUUGGGUUAUAUAAUACUUCUCAGACGCUAAGUACUCAGAAAUACAUAGUAGUAUGCUCUUAAGGGUCAGUACAGAAGUUAGUUUAGGGGAGUUCUUUCUUAAUUGGUGAUAGCAUCAAAGUGUUAAGAAUUGAAAUAAAGUUAUUUAUCUUGUUAGCAUAGCUACCUGAGCUCACUGCUGUUGUUCUGCUUGUGUAAACAGUGCUCUUGGCCAUUUGAAUGAUAAAGAAGAUGCUCCUAGUCAGUUGAAAAUAGUCGGUGUUCAAGCAACAGGGGGAAUGAUUGCUGGGGCAGUGACCUCUUGUGUUUCAACUCCUCUAGAUACAAUCAAAACCAGGCUGCAGGUGACAUUUAUGUUUCUGAUUAUUGUCGCUUAUUUCUGCCAAAUUGGGUUUGAAGAAGUUCAUUUUUCAAGACUGCCCUUGUAAUUAGUGCUUAUUAAGUUCCACGCUGAUGCCAUUAAGAUGUCUAUAACUUGACUCCAUCAUCAGAAUAUCAGUACAGUUAUUAAGUAAGGUUUAGGAGCAUGGGCAUUUUGUCUUGAAGUUCACUAAUGUCCUUCUGAAACCUAAGUAACUUUUUUCUUGGAUAAUAUAGAAUAGCAUUGGACUGAGGAGCUAGAAUUCAGGAACACAGUCUUUAUUACUCCCUCCGAUCCAAAAUAAGUGUCAUGGUUUAUGUUCAAAUUUGAACUGGAACCAUGACACUUAUUGGAUCAGAGGGAGUAGGCAAGUAUAUUUCUUCUCUCAAUAGUUGAUAAUUGGAAAGGCAAGCCACUGUAUGUAAAUGAAUAUUUGUAUUUCUUUAUCUUAUAGUAGUUAUUAUGGGGUCAAAAGGGAAAUUUUUUACCUAAAGCUUUUUCAACAAACCUCUAUUUAAUAGUGAGUAGUAGCAAAAAAGUGUAAUGUUGAAGUGGCUUAGAAGUUUCUCAAGGAUAUGACAUGCACUUUAUGGACACACUUCACAGCUUUCUUAACAUUACAUGUUUUUGUCUGUGUUGAUAGUGUCGAGUGUAGACUUUUAGUUUGUUACAAUCACACUUCUAUACUGUAGCGUUCAACCCCCCUUGUUCAAUUUUUCUGGGGAUGCUUUAAGAAAAUGUUCUGUGCAGCAGAUGUUUUCUUUAUGUCAUCAAGAAUUUGCAUUUUUUUAAUAUUUCUUAACUGUGACAUGCAUCCUGCGAAUUAUGGUUUUAUAUCAGCCACAUUAAUAUUUUUCUUGUUUUUCAUCUAGGUUAAUCAAAACAAGCCAAAAGCCAGUGAGGUAGUUAGAAGAUUGAUCGCUGAAGAUGGAUGGAAAGGUUUCUACAGAGGGUUAGGUCCAAGGUUUUUCAGCUCAUCUGCUUGGGGUACAUCAAUGAUUGUAUGCUACGAAUACUUAAGUAUGGCCAUCCUCCUUUCCAAGUCUUAUAUGUUUGUUUUUGUAUAUUCACCACAUCUAAUGCUAUUUGCAAUACAAAAUUGCAUAUAAUAAAUACGCACUCUUGCGGUUAAUUGCAUACUUGAGCAUUUCUCAUUUAUACUAGGGGUGUCUGGUGGCAUUGUGGUCACUUGUCAUAAUUUGUCCAUAUCUCCUGUAGGCUAUACCAUAACUCCCGUAUGCAAUAUAAACCACACUUGAAUACAAUCUGAAACUGUGGAACUUAUCCUUUUUGCCCCCUGUAAGGUUACCUUACAUGAAAGCUAGCACAUUAUGGAUGAUUGGAUUCCUGCUGCACUGUCGUAUAUUGUGGGAGUAUUGGCAUAUACAGAUAGCAAACACAGUUGGGUGGAAUGUGCUGCAGCAGCCUGAUCUGUCUUGUGGGGCUAUGACUAGUGUAUUCCUAUUCACAAUACCAUUUUACAAAAGGAGGGUUGUUUGUAGUUGUAUGUUCAAACAUGGAAGCUCCAUAAGAUAUUCCUUUAUCUUAAUGCUCUACUUUUAUUUAGAUGACAUCAGGUUUUAAAUUUCUCAAAACUUCCUCAUCUGAUCAGAAACUAUUCUUUGUUCUCUUUAUCCCUAACUAUAGCAUCCUUCUGGUUUUCCCCUGCAGAGCGAGUAUGUGCUAAAGUUGAAGAGGCCUGAGUCGCAGACAUCUCCUUGUGUGGUUCCUGCAAAAACGCUGGAAUUUUUGUCGGUAGCUGAAACGCAACAAUACUACAAGAAGGCAUCAGUGACACCCACCCGAAGCUCUGUUUCUCGCUGACUUAAUAGCUAGACAGUGGUUCUUACAAACUUUGGUGCCCCUGGAGGGUAGUAAUAUUUUUUUUGGCGGAAUAUUUGAGGCUCGUAUUAGCUGCCUCUAGUGACAGCUAUGGAUUAGGCAGAAUGCUCAUAUAAACCCAGAGAUCAGAUGUAUUCAAUUUCUAUUCUUUUGAACUCCAAGGCUUUGUUAUGGCGAGUCUGGUCGAUUGGGACCAGUUGUAAUGACACGUGA